GGUUUGAUAGCUACGAUUAAACUUAGGGUUACAGAGAACAUGAACAUGAUUCUCACAGCUCCGUAUACGCAAGAGGAAGUAAAGAAAGCACUUUGGCAGAUUGGUGACAUGAAGGCGCCCGGCCCUGAUGGCCUUCACGCUAUCUUUUUCAAGAGGUUUUGACACAUUCUUGGUGAGGAGCUUACCAAAGAAGUGCUUGAAGCAAUUAAUAAUAAAAAGAUCCCUAAAGGAUGGAACUCAAUGAAUGUUGUGCUAAUCCCAAAGGUAGAUAGCCCGGAGGUUAUCACUUAGUAUAGGCCCAUAAGUUUAUGCAAUGUGGUCUACAAAAUAAUUUCCAAGAUGUUAGCAAACAGACUCAAGAAAAUUCUGCCUGGGGUGAUCUCUCCUACUCAGAGCGCCUUUGUUCCGGGCACGCUGAUUACAGAUAACAUUCUGGUAGCAUAUGGGAGCUUUCAUGCAAUAAAAAAGAAGACCCAUGGAGCCAAUGGUAUAUGUGUUGUUAAACUAGAUAUGCUCAAGGCAUACGAUAGAGUUGAAUGUUUUUUUGCACCAAAUGAUGCUGAAGUUGGUCUUCAACCCACAAUGGGUGGAAUUGAUUAUGGAGUGUGUCUCCUCUAUGAGCUACAAAACUAGACUCAAUAACACGGAGAGGGACGAGUUCGUUCCCAUGAUGGGGCUGAGACAAGGAGACCCGCUAUCAGCAUAUCUAUUUGUGCUAUGUUCGGAGGGAUUAUUUAGUAUGUUGGCCCACGAGGAGGAGAUUGGAGGAAUUGAAGGCAUCCGAGUAAGCAGAUCAGCCCCCUCUAUCUCCCACUUAUUGUUCGCUGAUGAUUUCCUUAUUCUAAUGAGAGCUAAUAAUCAUAAUGCUACUACUCCGAUGAGAGUCUUAGAUACUUACUGUACCGGUUCUGGUCAGCGAGUUAGUACUACAAAAUAGAGCAUUUUCUUCAGCCCCAACAUGGGAGUUUUGAUUAGGGAGGCAGUCUGUGGCACACUAGACAUAUUAACAGAAGCUCUCUCUCAUAAAUACUUGGGCCUCCCUACUAUUGUGGGUGUGGACAGAAGCGAUUGUUUCCAACACCUUAUUAACAGAGUUUAUCAACGGUUGAGGGGCUGGAAGGAAAAAAUCCUCUCAAUGCAAGGUAAAGAAAUAUUAUUAAAGUCUGUAGCGCAAGCUAUCCCAUCUUAUGCAAUGUUGGUGUUCAAAUUGCCAAAAGGUAUUUGCAAGUCAAUAACAGAUGAAAUCUCUGGUUUUUUGUGGGGAGAUGGGAAAGAGAAAAAGAAGACGCACUGACUUGCGUGGUGGAAGAUGUACGUUCCAAAGGAGAAGGGUGGCAUGGGGUUGAGGGACCUUCACACCUUUAAUCUUGCUAUGUUAGCAAAGCAAUGCUGGAGACUACUCUAAACUCCCGACUCGUUAUGUGCACGUGUUCUUAGUGCUAAAUACUAUCCUGAUGGAGAUAUUUUAAAAGCUGGUACAAAGAAAGGAUCCUCCUUUACAUGGCAAAGUAUCAUUGCUGGAAUUCAAAAUUUUAAGAGGGGUUGCAUUUGGAGAGUGGGCACAGGGUCACGAAUUAAUCUUUGGGACGACCCAUGGAUCCUCUCUAGUGAAACGAGGAGAUCAAUCACCCCUAGAUGUGGGAUUAUACUUAAUAAGAUGGAAGAUAUUAUUGACCCUUAUACUGGUCAGUGGGAUGAGGCUCUAAUUCACAGUGUUCUUUCUCCUGUAGAUGCUUUCAAAAUUAUGCAAAUCCCCCUCCAUGUCGAAGCAUUAGAAGAUUUUAUGGCCUCACAAUUCACUCGCUCAGGAACCUUCUUCGUUCGAUCGGCUUACCACGUAGAGUUUAACCACCAGUUUGGUCACCACUUCUACAGGGCAGAUAAUCUGUAAAGGUCACAUAUUAACCCGAUCCGGAAGGAGCUUUGGCAACUUAGAAUCCCGAGGAAAGUCAAACAUUUUGGAUGGAAAGUAUUGAAGGGUGUGUUACCGUGUCUUGGGGUGCUAGCUGGCACGCAUAUUCCACUAGUACCUCAGUGCCCAUUGUGUAAGAUCGGACUCAAAGAUAUUCAGCACUACAUCUUCACAUGCGAGCAUGCAUCCGAGGUAUGGUCUGAACUGAAGAUGUCUAAUAUAAUCAAAGAGGCUGUGGCACAAGAUCGAGCGGGCUCGAUCACAUUGGAGAUCCUACUACAGGACAAAUCGGUGGUACAUGAAAUACCAGCGGCUGAAUUAAUAGUGAUUCAAUGUGGUACAUUUGGUGGCAAAGGAGGCAUGGAGUUAAAGGAGAAGCAAUAUAGACACCCCAAUGAACAACGAUGUCCAUUAGAGUGUUGAUUACUAACUUUAUCCGCGGCUGUUUGCCAAACCAUCCUACGAGGAAGAAGGAUCAUACUUGGCAGAAAUCGGACACAUGAACAAUCAAGAUCAACGGUGACGCCGAGAUCAUAUGGGUAACUUCAUUGCUGCAGCAACCUGGGUGUUAUCGCAUGUGUCCUCGUCUGACUCGACCAAGAUCAGUGCUGUCCAUCGCGGGGUUCUACUUGCAUCUAAUAUUAGCUGCACUAAGGUUACCUUCGAGAGUGAUAGUAUGAAUGUUCUCGCGGCAAUGGAAAGCCCGGAGGUAUAUAUGGGACCUGAUGUUAAUACUAUCACCGAGGCCACUAUUUUAUCUUUAGAAUUUUCAGAGAUUUCCUUCAUACACUGUAAUAGAGAUGCAAACCCAGUUGCAGAUAACAUAGCUAAUCGUGUUGUAGUAUUCAUUUAUCAGUCUUAGGAAGGAGAUUCCCAUGAUUUCAUUCUUCCUCACACCGUAAACGAUAUGGCUAUUAUUUGAGAAAUAAAGUUUGAAUCGUUCAGAAAAAAAUGUAGUGCGUGCAUUUUAGAAAUGACUAUUCCUGCAUACUGUUCUUUUAUACUACCUCCGUCCAAGUGUAUAGAGCAUGCGUGUAGUUCUAGGUUGUUAAUUUAACUAGCUAAAUAUAUAUUAUAUGUAAUAAAUAAUAUAUCAUUAGAUUCAUAUGAGAAUGUAGUUUUUGAAUAUGUUAUUUUUAUCACAUAUAAUAUAUAUUUUGCUGGUUAAAUUGACAACCUAAAACUACGCGCAUGCCCUAUACACUUGGACGGAGGUAGUAAGAAAAAUAUUAUAUAUUGAAAGCCUGUGGUCGACUCUGCUAGAGUUGCUCCGAACUCGAGUCCAUUAACCAUCCGGCAGGGACAGGCCGAGCUCGAAACCCUCUUCCGCCGCCCUGCCUAAACCCCACCGCCGAAAUGCUCCUUCGCCCGCUCCUUCGCCGCGGCGCCGCCGCGGUUUCGGCCGGCGGCCUCCGCGCUCCCGCCGUGCGCCCAGACCCGCCAGCUUGCUUAGCUUCCCUCCUCCUGGCCUCCCGCUCCUACGCGAAGGCCAAGGGUGGGGGCAAGCCGGCGGCGUCCACUAGUAACCGUGGCAAGGUUCGUGUCAAGGAUCCCAAAGGCGUGGCGUCUGAGGACGCCUCCGCUUCAGGGGAAUCCGCCGCAUCCGCUGGCGGGGCAGAUGAGAUCGACGCCGAGUUCGAGAUGCCCACUGACCCGCUGCCCCCGACCUACGACCCGGCGCUUGACGUCGGGCCCGGCGGUCGGCCGCUCUUCGCCUUUACCGACACCUUUGCGUCCUUCUCCCACCGCGGCGCCAAUGCCUACGUCGAUUUCUCGUACGCACCCAUCCUCUUCCCUUGUACACUGUCGUCUCGAUUGGAUCCAAAAUGCGGUGAUGCGCGUGGUUACGUUUAGAUGUAUUCGUAUUGUUUGUCAAAGUUCGGUUCUCGGUUCUCAUUCUCGUGGCAAAAUUGAUGCUAAUUACACCAAAUAAAAUGAAGUUCAAUAGAUGCCAUGUGUAAGGCUGUAUGCAAUGCAUUUUUUUUUCUAUUUGUUUUGCUUCAUCUCUGAUCUCAUAGUGAAGUGUGUAUGCGUCCUGUUGCCAUUUACACUUUCCCUUGGUUUAGUAAUGUUUGAAGGUUGGUGCCAUGGUCGCAAACUUAGCAGACUCAUUCCACGUGAUGAUUUCCGCAAUUGAACUAUGUUGCUGAUCGUCUAAACAUGUGUAUCUAUUUAAUGAUAUAGUUCUUUGUAUCAACUUCAGUAAUGUUAGUCUUCUUUUGCAUCGUAUUUUCCUUGUAAUAAUGUAUUACACCUGUUGCACUGUUUUACUUUAUUCGAUGCAAGCGAUCGUUUACUAUCACGCCUGCAAUCAAAGGUCAAUUAUUGGACAUGUAGGAUCUGAGUUGGUAAUUGUGAUUAUGAUUGUGUCCUCUGGUGUUAGUCGAGAACCCUUUUUGGGAUAUUAAGUAUUUCAUUUCUGUCCAUUGUUUCAGUUUGGAUGAAUGGAAAGCCAUGUUACCAGAGGGAUUGCCAACAGGGAUGAUGAAGGAGUUUCAAGACACGAGGCGUUGCGCUGUGAUGGUGAGGGAAAGCUUCCUAGACCUGCGGGAUAACUUCCGGAGAAUUGUUGAUCCAGCCAUUACAGCCAAGCGCAAAGGUGUGUUUGUACUUCUGUGAUGUCAUGUUACAGUGGCAUAUGCAAUACUUAUAGUUUGCCUUGUCAAGUCUUAAUAUUUCUUAGAUGAACAUGGUAGUAUCUAUUGGUUAUUUGCAUCCUACCGUAAUAUUGUCAUUGAUUGCGCCAUCACACCAUUCAUUUGUGUUGCCUUAGUUAAUUCAUUCGUGUUUCCUUAGUGAAUCGGCAUACCCCAAAUUGCCAGUGAUUCGUUGAUGAUUUUCGUGUAAGGUAACUCGAAACUAAAAUAUAUUUUAUUAUGAACUUCGAACGUUGAUUUUGAUUCAGCGUUAUAACUUUCAUAGCUAUAAUAUCAAGAAGCAAAAAAGCAAUUGAGAUCAAAUUACUUAUCUGUAGAGUUCUUUUUUUCCAUCAAGACCGUUCACAAAAGGUUUUUAAUUUCAUUCUUUGAUGUUUUUUUUUUCAAAAAGCUCUGGUUUGAUAGUGGUGCACACGGCAGAGCUUGGAAUAUGCGUUCAUGAUUGAUGGCGCCAUUUCAAAGUUGGAUCAAUUACUUUCUAUUACACCGUAUAGCUUUGUAGCCUGUGACACUCUUGCAAAAAAAAGCCUGUGGCACUCUGCUUUCUAAUAUCUGUAGGCAUGAAAAAAGUAAAUCCAUAUGUUGCUAGGGUAAAUUUUGUUUGGUUUGCAUCAGAAUAAAAACUAUCUCCCCGGAACCCACGGGCCAUGGUGUAGAUUCUUUUCUACCGACUGCACAUUAUCAUUAUCAAUACAUCCAAUUUUAAAUAAUCGUGUAGGAACAUGUUCCCUCUAACUUUAUACCUUGGAUUUAUUAGGUUAUGAACUGGCCCUAAGCAUCUUCUUUUUGUAUCUGUCCUCAGACACCAAAAGACAAAUUAUCUUGGAUGGCCCUCGGAGUUGUGGUAAAAGCAUUGCACUUGCGAUGCUUGUGCACUGGGCCCGUACUGAGGGAUGGCUGGUGUUCUAUGUUCCCCAAGGGAGGGAUUGGACUCAUGGAGGAUUUUUCUAUAGAAAUACCUACAGUGAUUUUUUUGAUACUCCUGUACAGGCUGGAAAGGUUUUGCAGGUGCUAAUAUCUACAUGAUGUCUGUAUUCUGCUUUUUCCUCAGUAUUUACAAAAUUGCUUUAUUGCAAUAUCAUUAUGUUCUGUUGCACCUUCUCUUGUUAUUUCAUCCUUUCUGUCUCAGCGCCCCAAUUUUUUUGCUAGCUUAAAGCUGGUUCACCAUUCAUAAUGUAUUAAUCACCUAAUGCAGCAAAAGUGAUAUAACACAUUACAUUGUUCGGUGGUCAGGGCUUAUUCAUGAACAUCUAAACAUUUAUUAUCCUUUGCAUCUGGCAGAGCUGUAGUAUGCUUUCUUUCUUAUUUAAAAUUUCCCGGUGCAUUUGUGAAGAAAAUUUAAAAACUUUGGGUACCAUAAGAUUGCUUCUACAUUUUGCUUGUAAUUUGAUAGUCUUUAAGUAUUUGUUAAUCAUACUUUGCUUUUAAAAAAAUAGUUGGAUGGCAUCUAUUGUCAAUGUUCCAGGGUGUCCGAUGCUGCGCACGUUGCAUCUACUAAAUCCGUAUGUGCAGUACUACAAUUUUCCAGGGGUGCGUGGAAGUUAGCUAUCCUCGUUCCAGAGCCAUGACUUGGCUUCGAGAUCUUAUGGGUUUCAACUCUAGCCUACCCCAACUUGUUUGGGACUGAAAGGCUUGGUUGUUCUUGUACUGUAAUCCUAUCCUAUAUAACUAAAUAGGUGAUCCCCAUUAACCUAUUUCUCUCAACAUGCAACCACGCCACCUGAACAUGCAUGGGAAAAAGCCCACCUCAGCAUGCAACUAUGCAUGAGAAAAUGCUCAAAUGUUUUAUGCUACUUAUAUUCAAUUAUACAAUAAUCAAAUAUAUAUUUAGUUUCAGUUCUUAUAUUAUUAUUUCGAAGUUCAUGUUCAUAUAAUCAAAUCUCAUCGAAAUAUAUUGCAAGCAAUUCCACAGCAAUGUGUGGGGUAUUAUCUAGUUAUUUUAAUAAGGUGAACACAAUUUCGUGCUGAUGAUUAUAUACGAUACAUGUUUCUGCUGUUGCUUCAGGAUUUCUUGAAAUACAACGAAACCCGCUUACAGCAGUUACCAUGUCAAAUUUUUGAGCCUAUUCCCCUGGGAGAAGGUACUGGUGUUGGAAUGAUGAAAGGGGCUGACACAGUGGAAAUGCCAGAAGGGUCCACAUUGUAUGAUCUCAUUCAAACUGGGAUAACCCACUCGCAUGCUGCAGUUGGUGUUGUGGUUCGUUUGAGAAAGGAGCUAUCACUUGUUAAAGACGUGCCUGUACUGUUUGCCAUCGACCAGGUAUGCUUGGAGUGUUGAGGUCCAUGCAUGCGGCUUCUUUCAACUCUGAUGGUUAUAGUGAUAGUAAUGAUCAGUCUCACUGAAAUAUGUUUCUUCCUUUUGCAGUAUAACAGUUGGUUUACAUUCACCGAGUUCCAGGAGCCUGUAACUGUUAGAUCCUGUCGAUCAAUCCACGCGAAAGAGCUUACAAUGGUUUGUUGCACCAAAGCUGCUUGCGUUUGUUAGCAUUACUCUUGCUUACUCGCUGAAAUUGCUUGUAAUUUUCUCCUUCCAAAAGUGGCAAACACCUGUGUGUCCUUUCAGUCAAACUUUUCUAUCUUUGACCCAGUUUGUAGAAAAAAUAAUCAAAAUCCGCAAUACUAAUAAAUACUCCCUCCGUUCCUAAAUAUAAGUCUUUUUAGAGAUUUCACUACGGACAUAUGGAACAAAAUGAGUGAAUCUAUAUUCUAAAGUAUGUCUAUAUACAUCCGUAUGUAGUUCCUAGUGAAAUAUCUAAAAAGACUUAUAUUUAGGAACGGAGGGAGUAAUAAAGUUUAUGAAAAUAUAUAUUUCAUGAUGAAUAUAAUGAUACUGAUUUGGGAUCGUACAUGCUUUAUGAACUUGGUCAUUGAUAGAAAGUUUGACUUUUGAAAAACUAAUACACCUUACAAAAAAUAUCGGAGAGAGUAUCUUUCUGGUUAUGCAACUGUAGAAAGAUUAAGGCCUUCUCCCUUUUCUGGUUAUUCAUUUUUCUUUACAGCCCUAGAUUGUCCUGUUUCAUUUAUCUAGCUGAUAGCAUUGCUGUGAUUUGUUUUUUCAAGUAAAUGCGGUGUAUGGGUUAUAGUGUACCAAGAAUUCUUAAAUAAAAUUUGAUAGAUCUGAGAAUGUUGUUUGUCUUCGUUUUGGUCUAAGAAAUCAUAUUGAAGUUUUCUCAUCAUGUGUCACUGGUAGAGCUUUUCUAACUACUUCUAUUGUACUGUAUAAUUCAUCAUAGCUAGUUUUAUUUGAUAAAUCUUUUCUUUCACCAACUCUGGAUGGUCUGAAAAUGUACAUGCAUGAUUUUUUAAGCUCUUCUGACUAAACUGGUCACAACUAAUUAUGCUUUACAUACAUUGCUUACUUCAACAGGUCAAUGCUUAUAGGUCAAUGCUUCACAAUGAUAUGAUGGUAGGAGCCUUCUCACAUUCAACAGCAGUUGGCAAGCUAAGACAGGAGCUCCCGGAUGUUCCCUCUGAUGCUCGUCUGAUUUUUCCGCGGUACACUGUAGAUGAGGCAGAGACUGUGUGCCACUAUUAUAUGAGGUACUUCCAAAUAAAAGUUCUGUCUAGUGAUAGCUUUUGAAUAUCAUGCCAUAACCUGCAAUCCCAUGUGCUUACAGAAGCUCUAUUUGCGCGACCUGUGGCUUUUGAAAGGUUUUGUAACUUAAUUCAAGCAAAUGACCAUUUUGAUCUAUUUGUUUGGCAGGCAAAAGAUUAUUCGCCGUGAAAGUUUUUCAGAGGAGAAGUGGAAAAAGAUAUACUAUUUGUCAAAUGGAAAUGGCUCAGAGAUGAGGUGGCUUGCUGCGUUUAUAUGAGGCAGUGAAUACUCUAAGUUACUUAAUAAUUGUAGGUUGCCUGGAUGUUUGGACAAGAUUUGUGCUUUGAUUUGAAAUCCCCGGUUAUCAGAAAUUUUGUGUUCAAUUUUGCAUCUUCUUACUUAGUUUCUGAUGCCAGGAGUGAUAUAGUAUAAGAAAAACUGCCACUUUGGUUCCAGCAUGCCACUUCCUCGCUGUUGUAUACUUGUACUAUGUCUUAUGGAACUCCUGGGAGCAAAUUGCUACCUAGUAAAAUAUCUAAGAUUUUCUAUCCCCACUAGAAGUGUGAAGAUAAUUUUGGCUGUGGCUCCAAAUUUAAUCCAUGUGUUCUCACGAGUCACGACACAUUCUUUAUGGGUACUGACUAGGAUUAUAGUGAGCUGCCCUACUGAUGAAGGAUAUGAAGAAUAAGCAACUGGUAUAUGAUCUUAGUAAAGCUUCAAUAUGUUUUGGUUCAAAUAUAGUAUACUUCUCCCUGUUGGCCGGGCGCUGUAGCGAUCAAAGAAUUUGAGUUAGGGCAUCUCCAAUGGUUGUAAGAUAGUUGUUGGUAAUUAUGACACAUAGGAUUUUUGAUGAUGUGUCUUGCAAUAAAUAAGGAAAGAGAGUAAGGUUGUAUGUAAAUUAACCAACACUCUUGCACAAGCUUCAAUGUAGAAUGAGAGAGCACAUUAUUUAUUACCUCACAUCUUUUUAAACAAACUAAAUACAAUUCAUUGAAGUAGUUGUAUGUUAAGGCGUUGGCUGAUGACAUGGCGAGAUGUCCUUACAGGAUGAUCUAUUAAUGAAUUCAACUUUAUUGAAGAGGCACUUGUUACUAAAUGAAUGCUUAAUAAUCCGGCAAAGCCUUAUUUUAAGUUUGAUCUGAUAAGAUUUUGGUAAAUGCUGUUUGCAUCCUUUUCAAUUAUCAACCUUAUUUGUGAUUUUGCUAAGCUUGUGUUGAUGGUUUAAUUUGUUAAUUUAGUAUCCUAUAUGGCUCAUUAAGCCCCUGUUCGGCAGCCCGCCACGGAGCAGAGCGCGAGGAGCGUCCUGUUAGCAAUUCCUCAGAAUAUAACUAGGUGUCACUCCGCUCUGAUGUGGAGUUGCGGAACGGAGAGAGUCCGAACAGUCUCUAAAUAAACUUGUCAUGAUGAAAGGCCCUGCUGACGAGCUGAUAAUUUUUUCACACUCCUCUCUGCGUUUGCGUGCGUUCUGAAUUACUGCCCCUAUAUGGUUUCUGCUCCUGCGUGAUUAUCCAUCGAUCGCCAUCUAUCUUGGGUCACAUCUCAACCUCUUGAUGUGGAUUUCCCGCGGAAGCUUCUGACCUAAUUCAUUUCCGCGUCAUUGAUAAUUAGUGGAGCAUUUCAUUUGUAGCCCUGCAGUGGAAUCACGGUAUGUAGUGUCGUAACGUCGAAUACGUCUGUAAUGCAAUGUAAUGUAAUCUAACCUGCAAGCUACGCACGCCUUGCUUUCUGUCGUACCAAAUUGACCCGUAUUUUGAACUUUUCCCAAGAAUCAGCAUCACCCUCUGCCCUGCCGGUGCCGGGAGUGUCAUUGAAUUUUCUAUUGCCAGGAACGUUAACAGGAUACACGUCAAUUUGCAAGCUUUUUGAGAGAGGCGACACAUGUUAAUCGCCCAAAAUUCCCAAAAAACGUUUCACCGGUUUUACAGUAGCCACACAUAAGCAUUUCAACCAUGGCAGAAAUCUGAAAAGUCCUCGUGUCCCAAGCAUUUCUAUCGUGAAUAAUGCACGGCAACUUGCUAGAACGAUGUAGAAACCCUCUCCUUCCCGGGUGGUAGGCCCCCACCCUUGUCCCCUAGCAGGAAGGAUAAGCCCACACACAAGCCCUCCUCUGCCUUCUCCCUUGGUGCAAGGAGCUGGCUGGCUCCUUGAUGCUGAUGUGCCCAUGCCCAUGUGUGUGUGUGAGUGCCCACCCAUAUAUAGCUUUCUCCCUCUGGCUCCUUGCUCCCCUGCCAAUAGUUGAUCCGUCCAGCAGCAGCAAGCAACCAGGUUCAGGUUUGAUCCUCUAGCCUUUGCGGUUGCGUCCGUCGAUUUGUCUGCCAUGGAGGGAGGAGGCGCUCCUUCCGUCCAGGACGUGUGGGACUGGGAGGUGCUGCCUGACGAACACAGGAGCUUCUACGCCGAGAGCAGGGCUGCAUCCCGUGCCCACGGCAGCGGCGAGGUUCUUGCCGGUAAGCUCGCUCUUGAUCACGAUUUUUUUUACUUCGGUUUCCACUCAUGUUCCAAUCCCUGUAUUUGUAAUUGUAACUGUAAUUGAUUGCGUGCGUACUCCAGAUCACGAAACCGAGGAACCGAUCCUGCCUCCCCCGUCACAAGUGGACGCUGGUAAUGUUGACGAGUGUAAGGACAUCGGCGUCGACGUCGUGCCGGCCGAGCCCAGAUCAACUAAAGAGGGUAAAGAUGAAGAACCCACGGUGACGGAGCUGCUAGUCUCUGACGGCGACGGGCAGGACAAGUUCCAGGCCUGUGACGACGCCAAGGAGGUGGACGACGAUGGCAAGCAGAUGGCUGCGGCAGAGGCAGUGGAAUCAGCGCUUCCUCCUCACGAGUUCGCCGCGGGAGAGGAGGAAGAGGGCAAGAAGGAGGAGGACGGCGCGCCGCCGGAGUGCGUGGUGUUCAGCGUGGGGAAGCUGCGCGUGAACGCGGUCGGGGCGCUUUGCUCGUUCGGGGUGGCGGCGGCCACCGUCUGCGUGUUCCUCGUCGGCGGCAGGCUGCAGCACCACAAGCAGCACCAGCAUCAGCAGCAGCAGAAGAUCCAGCUGCAGUUCCUUGGCGAUGAUAAGGUUUGCUGACUCUGUCGCCACCUAAUCCGAUCCAGAGCAUCAGAAUCCUUUUCCUAUUAGUAAUAACUCAACUUAAAUCAAUUACAAUAUCAAUCAACUAUGCCUUUUUUUCUCCCGAGAAACACCGUACACACUCACAUACACGAACUCCCUGUCUCUAUGACUAUGAGCACCUUCAGUAGAUUGAGCCGACAGAUAUCCGAUUGACGAAGUCUGUCACAGACGCAUGGUGCACGGCCUAAUUGGACCCAUUCCAACACCGCAGUCCGCAGUUUUCUUCCCGGAUUUGACCGCCAUCCGCUUCUUGUGGAACUGAAUCUUGAAAUAUUAUUUGUCCAAGAGAAGACUGGCUGAAGUAAUACAUAUGCUGUUGAUCUGUGGAUGUGCAGAGAAUUCAGCAGGUGGUGCAGCAGACAUCGAGGCUGAACCAGGCCAUGUCAUCUAUGAUGGGGGCAGGCGCGUCCACAAGGGCCAACAUAUCGUUCGGUGGCUUCUACGACGGCUUCUGAUCCACCCGCCCGCGAUUCAACUCUCGGAUCAAGCACAAGCUGCUGGAUUCAACUACGUACAUCUGAUGAAGAAAAAGCUAGCUCAUGCGUUAUAGCAAAUCAGCAGCCUUGGUAGUGGUUGUCAUGUACGUAUAACAUAGAUCACGUGUCGUGUUUGUACAUAAUGCACGAUAUACUGGGUGUAAAUAAUUGGGACCGUGGCCGGGCCGGCUGUAUGUGUAUGCAGAUGAGGAUGGAUUCAUUAAUAGAUUUGUUAUUAAGUUCAUAGAUAAGGGAUAACGACCAUGUCGUUGUGCUGGAACAGGCUGUCGCGGGGAGGCUCUUUCUUUCUUAACACGGUACAAUCGAGAUGCUUUAUAUACGAAAAAAGUCCAAAACAAACCUUGAAGUUAUAGAGAAAAGCUAAAUCAAAUCAUGAACUUUGAAUCCCUAAAAUCGGCACACCGAACUCACUGAUCCUGGUCUAUUUUAAAUCCGGGAUUUGCUGAAUUGGGCCGGGCCCAUUAGCGCAGUUGCGCACGCGCGCACCCUCUGCUCUGUUUUUAUUUUUAUUUUUUUAUUUUCUUUUUGCUUUUUCACAUGUGUAUAUUUUUUUCAGUAUCCAAUGUAUUUUUUUAACAUAUAUGUAUAUUUUUUGAUAAACUUCCAAUAUUUUUCAACACAUUAUGUACAUUUUAAAAGUACAUCUUACAAAAACAAUACAUGGUAAUAUUUUUCUAAAUAAAUAUUUUAUAUUUUCUAAAUAACAAUAAACAUUUUAUAAAAUUGAUAUAUAUAUUUUUGAGGUAUAAAUAACAAUAAACGUUGAAUGUUUGGCGCUAGGAUUAUGCUCCUACAAAUUUAUAAAAUGCAUGUUAGACCAACACGAAUAGAAUUAAAAAUACGAAUAGAACUAAAAAUACGAAUUGAAUUAAAAAUACGAAUAAAAUUAAAAAUACAAAUAUAAUUAAAAAAACCAAACAUUUUUUGAAACAAAAAAGUCACAGAAUUUGUGACAAAAAUAGAAAACAUAAAUAUUUUUAACUUCUGAACAAUUUUAAAAAUGCGCGAACUUUUUUUAAACUUUGUAUUUUUUUUUGUUAGUGGGCCAAUCCAAUUUCUAUCUAUAAGAGUGCAGCCUAGCAGGUUAUCCCGGUCGGGAUUGUGGUAUUGCCAGAAUCCCGGUGUGCCAAACGGGCCUAGGGUUCAAAAUAGACCGGGAUUACAAGUUCAGAGUGUCAAUUUCAGGGAUUCAAAGUUUAGGGUUUGAUUUAACUUUCGUCUAUCACUUCAAGGUUUGUUUUGGACAUUUUCCCUUUAUAUACACACACAUAUCUCUAUACUAUGAACGUGCACACAUACAACAUUCUGUAUGGGCAUCUCCGAUAUACUGCAAUUUUGCCUAUUUAGGCCCUAUUUGGAACCACUCGGAUUAUAUAAUUCAGUUUUUAUAAUCUAUUAUGUCUUCAAACAAAACAUAUUAUGGUAUAGAUUAUAGAAACUAGAUGGACAUAUUAUUAAAAACUCACAAUCUACUCUACCCCAGCUAAAAUCAGAUUAUGCAUUCCUAAUGAUGUUUUCGAUGUUGGGAGUUUUUAUCGGUCUUAUUCGAGGAAGGGUUCUCACCAUUUUUUAUGGGCCUUUUAUCACUUGAUUCUUAUUGACAUUUCUAUCAAGAUUGUGUUAGCCCAUGUCGUUAGCUUUCCAACAAACUUGGUUUCGUUGAAUUUGGAGUCCGCAUGCGAAAGUUAAGGCAGUUUCUGUGGCGAGGAGUAGUACCGCUUGUGCCUAACGGUAGUACCGCUCCAUCGGACUUUAUUUGCGCAUCCUUUUUGCCUCGGCAUGGCUGGUGAACCUACUGAGCGGUAGUACCGCUCCGUCGGACUUUAUUUACGCAUCCUUUUUGCGUGAGCAUGGCUGGUGAAUCUACCGAGCGGUAGAACCGCUCCCAUGAGUGGUAGUACCGCUCUAUGCGGGCUGUGAAGCAUAACGGUUGGUUUUUCCCCACCUAUAAAAGGGGGUCUUCUUCCUCAUUGAACCUUAUCUCUUUAGCUCGUGUUCUUCCCUCAUUGUUGACCUACUUCGAGCUUGCUAACUCUCAAUCCCUCCAAUGAUUCUUGCUAGUUCUUGAGGGAAAAGAGAGAGGAGAUCUAGAUCCACAUUUCCACCAACCACUUUCUCCUCUAAGUGAGGGGAACCGUUUGGGUCUAGAUCUUGGAGUUCUUCGUGUUCUUCUUUGUUCUUCAUCUCAUUUUACUCCCUUGCAUUAGUUGUUUUGGUGGGAUUUGGGAGAGAAGGACUUGGGCACUCUGUGUGCCCUUGUCAUUGCAUUAGGUGCAUCGGUUUGAAUUCUCCACGGGUGAUACGUGGAAGUGAGAAGCUGAGAAGCUUAUUACCCUUGGGUACUUGGUACCCCUAGAAUCUUGGUGGUGCCUCGGAGCUCAAUCAUUGUGGUGUAAAGCUCCGGGCAAGCGUCGGGGUCUCCAACUAAGUUAUGGAGAUUGCCCCGAGUAUUUGUGGUCACCUUGAAGCCAUAUGCCAUUGUGGUGAAGCUUCGUGGUGUUGUUGGGAGCCUCCAAUUAAGUUGUGGAGAUUGCCCCGACCUUGUUUGUAUCAAGGGUCCCUUAGUGGAAUCACGUCAUCUUGCAUUGUGCGAGGGCGUGAGGAGAUUACGGUGGCCUUAGUGGCAUCUUGGGGAGCAUUGUGCCUCCACACCGCUCCAAUGGAGAUUAGCAUCCGCAAGGGUGUGAACUCCGGGAUACAUCAUCGUCUCCACCUGCCUCGGUUAUCUCUUACCCGAACCCUUUACUUAUGUACUUUACUUUGUGAUAGUCAUAUUGUUUCUUGUCAUAUAUCUUGCUAUCACUUAGUUGCUUAUCUUGCUUAACAUAAGUUGUUGGUGCACAUAGUUGAGCCUAGUUGCUUUAGGUUUUGUGCUUGAAAAAUUAAACGUUAAUUUUAUUCCGCAUUUGUUCAAGACUAAACCGUAAUUAUUUUAAAGCGCCUAUUCACCCCCCCUCUAGGCGACAUCCACGUCCUUUCAAUUGGUAACAGAGCUAGGUCUCUCUUUAUUAGGUUUAACCACCUAGAGAGUAAGGAUGUCGACUAGGAGUUUAGGAUUCACUUACACUCUUAGUUUCGAUCGCACAAAUUUUGAUGUUUGGGUAAUUCACAUGCUUAAUCACUUUUGGGUCUUGGACCCAAAUUUAGAGCGAAUUGUAGAUAUGGGUUUUCUCCUCCAAAGGAUUCUCAAAAUAUAUCUUUAAAGGAUGAGAAAAACUCUUAUCUCGAUGCUCAAGCUUCUAAUGUGCCUUUUGAUGCUUUGAGCAAUGUAGUUAUAUUUCAACUCAUGCCAUUCCGGGAUGCUCAUGAGUUGUGGACAAAGCUUCAAGAUAAAUAUGGUACGUCCAAGAUUUGUGGGAAUGAUUGUUAUCCCUCCACCUCCGGUCAUGUGGUCUUCUCAACUUCAUCUACUUCACCUACAUGUGGAUUGCCACAAGGUAAUGAUAUGGUGAGUAGUGGAGAUCAUUGCAAUGAUGAUAGUGGGCUUAUUGUUGAUGAUCCUUCAUCACUAUAUUAUUGCAAUGCUUCAUCUUUGGGCGUUAACACUUUGAGCACUCUAAAUAUUUUACAGGCUUGUAUUGAUAGUCCGUGCAUAUCAUGUAAAAACUGCUUGACUAAAUCUCAUGAUGAUACGAUUUCUAUAUCUUGUUGCCAUGAUAAAAAUGUAUCUAUUUCCUCGAGUUGUUGUGCUAACAACGUAGAGGAAAUCCAUCACUCCAUGGAACAAGAUGUGGCCUUAAAUGAUGCUUCAAGGGAUCCCACAUCAUCAUCUAUUGUUUCUCACUUUUGCCUUAUGGCUAAGGCUUCAAAGGUAUCUCCUACUUUGAAUCCCAAUAAAUCUCAUGAUGAUGAUGUUGAUGAUAAUGAGGAUGAGGAUAAAGAUGAAGAGAGUGAUGAUAUUGCAUCCUUAAAAAUUAAGGGUGAAAUGAUUUUUAAAUAUCUUUAUAAGAAUAAACUUGCUUGUUCCAACUUCAUGGAAAUCAUGUCUAUUGCCACCGAGGGCAAGAAAUAUAUGGAGUAGUUGGAAGCUCAUCUUGAUUUGCAUGAGGCCACCAUUGAGACAAUGGAAGGUCAUGAGCGUGAUUACGCUAAUGAGAUCACAGAGAUAUCUCAAUCUCUUGAAAAUGAACAAUCCACCAAGGAAUCUCUUGAUGAGACCUUUGCUCUUGAAUUAUCUAGAUUAAAGGAAUCUCAUGAUAGAGCUCUCGAUGUGGCUAAUGAUUUUAGAACUAAAAAUGAUAAGCUUGAAGUUGCACAUGCUAAACUCCGUGAGGACUAUGAGCACCUCGAAAAUGGCUCAAGGGCUAUUAAGAGUUCUCUCAUCGAACUCACCGAGUCUCAUGCUCAACUUGAAGCUUCAUAUGCUAAAGAGCUUGCCUAGUUGCCUUAUCCUCUUAUUGCUAAUGAUGAUGCUUGUGCUACUAACUCUACUUCUUGUGAAGCAUCCAUUUGAAAGGAGAAUGUUGAGAUAAGGGCUCAACUUGAGUUGAUAUCUAGCAAUUAUGGGAAAUUGGAAGAAAGUCAUGUAAUGCUCACAAGCUCUCAUGAUGAUCUUCUAGCAUCCCAUAAUGUGAUAAAAUUAGCUCAUGAGGCUAUUACUACCAAGGUAACAUCAAGUGAGCCUCAUGUGGACAGUGACACUACUUCUAGUCAAAAUGCUCUAUUGCCAUGUGCUAGUCCUCGUAAUUCUUCUACUCAUAAUGUUGCUACCUCUUGUGAUGAAUUACUUUCCUUGCAUUGUUGCUCUAAUAAUGAAGCUUAUACUUUCUCUAGUACUUGUGUUGAUACUAACCAUGUAGAGGAAAUCUAAGAGCUCAAGGCCCAAGUCACUUUUUUGAAGAAAGACUUGGAAAAGAGUCAUGAAGGGAUGUCCACACUCAACAAUGUCUUGUGUGCGCAAAAAUCCCCGAAUGACAAAGAUGGACUUGGAUUCAACUCCAACAAGAAGAAGAAGUCCAAAAACUUCAAGAAGAAGGGCCAAGAACAAGUCAAGAAUUCGGCCAAGAUUAUUUGCUUCAAGUGCAAAAUUGAAAGGCACCAUGUUAGAUCUUGCCCACUAAAGAAGAAGCCCCAAAGUCACAAGCAACAAGGGAAGCGGCCACAAGUUCAAUCACAUACUCAAAUACAAGUUGAAGGAAGGCCUCUUCCCAAGAAGACCCAAGCCAACACUCCUCAUGUUGAGAAAUCAAUAGGGAAGAAAUUAAAGGGUAGAUGUUGCUACUUAUGUCAUGAGAAGGGUCACUUUGCUUCUUCUUGCAUGAGAGGUAAUUUAUCCAACCCAAUCAUUAUUGAUGAUAUCUAUUCUCUUGGGAAGGAUAAGGUUGGCAAUGUGUUUGCCAAGUUUGUUGGUACUCAAAGUGGUGUCAAGAAAAGUACCAUUUGGGUUUCCAAGCCUAUUGUGACUAACCUCUUAGGACCCAACGUGGUUUGGGACCAACAAGCUCAAACUUGAUCAAUAGGUGAUUGUGGAGGACAUUGGAGACUUGGAUACAUAAUGAAGAAUUAAGGGGUCUUCAUCAUUCAUAUUAUCUCAAGCCAAGUCAUUUGGAUUAUCGAGUUUCUAUCUUAUAUCCAAUGUGCCUCCUUACGGUAACUUGUACUUAAACUGUUUACAUUGUUAGUUACUUGCCCCUUUGCAUGUUGUGGUUUUGUACCUUGCAUGUGUUUGUAUAUGUUGUGCUUCCAACUUGCUUAUCUUGAGUAAUCGAGUAUGUGUAUGUUGGUUUGAAUAUCAUGUACAUGUGAGUUUUGUAUUGAGCCUUUUUGCAUCUUAGUUUGUAUCUUUGUUGGCUCUUGUGAGAGAUUAAUGGAUUAUCCCAUUGUGGGGGAGUGAUGUGUGUUGCACACCUCACAAUCCUAUAAAUGUGUAUACAUGGGGAAUACCACUUGGUAUUGAUAUUUCAAGAUUAUCUAGUUUCUAUGUGGUAUGUCUUACUCAUGAGAAAUUCAAAUUCUAUAUGGUCCAUUAAUUAUAUCUUGUUGGUUUUAAUUUUCCACUUGUUAAUAUUGUUGGGUUAUCACAUUAUGGGGAAGUAAUAUGCUAUGUGCAUAUUACAAGCCUAGAAAAUGUGUACAUUUGAGGUAUUGCCACUUAGUGUUGAUAUUGUAAAUUAUCUUGUUCCUAGGUGGCAUGUUAGCUCUUCAAGUGUCAUUUGCUUGCGUUUUAGGGGUAAAAGAUGAUGUUGGAUAUAUUUGCGAUCUACCAAUGGGUAUUAUUGUAACGACUAAGAUGCGGCCCUUUUCCUAUUUAGGGGGCGAUGCCCCAAAAGGGAAAGAGGCGCAUCUAAGCGUUUCGCAAGCGAGAUAAUCAUAGCAGAAACAUAAAUUAAGAUUGACAAAUAGGGGAUACAUUUGCCAUCUGACAUAGUAACAUAAAGUUUACAUCCACACAAUUAUUCAGACAAGAUAGUCCUGCUACGGGCUACAUGAAACAAGGAAAAGACUAUGAUAUCCCGCAUGCUCGCCCACGAUCACGACCACGGCCUCAGUCUUCCGGAUAGUUCACGUACAUACGGUCGUUCUCCUCAUCGUACUGCCACGCCAGCUGCGUGUCAUCUGGAUCUCCUGCGUCGGGCGUACCUGUACCUAUUGGGGGUGUUGUAGUAAACUGUAAGCCACGGGGACUCAGCAGUCGGAUGACCUUGGUACCGAAACUAGUCAAGUUAUUAGGUGAGGAAGGUUCAGUGUUUAGGUUGCAGCAUCCUAAGCAUAUAUGGUGGCUAACUUACGAAGAUCAGAGUUAUGAUAUGGUGGUCUACGCGAGCGGUCGAAGACUAGGUGAUCACUAAGUGAUCCUGAACACCUACUUACGUCAAACAUAACCCCAUCGUGUUCCCGAUCAAAGAGAGGUCUUCGAAAGAGACAGUCACGAUUACGCACACAGUUGGCAGUUUUAUUAGAGUUAGUUCAAGUUAUCUAUCACCGGAUGUUAACAAAUUAUCCAUGUUGCCACAUAACCGCGGGCACGGCUUUCCGAAAGAUUAAACCCUGCAGGGGUGCUCCAACUAGUCCAUCACAAACGGUCACGGGCCGCAAAUAAUCCUCUAUCACGAAUCUCGUGAUCUCAUCGGAUUCCUUAGAGGAAAACCUCAACUUUGAGGAGACCCAAAGUUUCAGCGGGAUUCCUAUAUGCAAGAUAUAUCGCUAAGGUAAGACAAAUCUAGCAAGACCUCCCAUCAUGCCAACGACCCCGAUAAGAGCCGCGUAUCUUAGUCUCAGGACACGUCGGAUGAGCACUAUGUACGGUGGCCGGAUAGACAUCCCCCGAGUUGCCCCGGGUGGCCCCGCAAGUGGCUAGCUUUGGACCAACGCUCAUAAGGAGCACUGGCCCAGGUUGUUGAUUAAAUCCUCGGGGUAGCUAUUCCCUAUGAAAAUUAUUAUUAGGUGAUUAGCAAAUUAAAACCAAUGUUGGGUCCUGCCGGACAAGCCUUAACACUACACGAUUUAUCAAGGGGUUCCCCAUAACAACCCCGAACGUGUUAGGAGCGAUCAGUUAUGGAAAACAAACACCGGUAGCCGAAACUAAGGCGGCAAUAACGGAACAAAUCACCCGGCAAAAUGCUAGGCCUUCCAUCAUUUACCAAGUAUAUAGGUGCAUUAAUUAAAUAGCAGUUUAAACAUAAUGAUAUCAAAAUACUCAUGUCAUCACAUGAGACAACUAGCACUUGCAACUAGCAAAGCUAAUCAUUAGAAGCCGAGCAAGCCUACUUAGCCAAAAAACAUUAGCUAGGAGGGGAUGAUGUUUGGGUUUCACGGCAAUAUCACGAGGCAAUUAUAUCAAGUGGUAGGCAGCGAGCAUUUAUCGAAGGAAACGUGAUUGUAAGCAUAACAAAGCUAGAUACGGUAUUGUCACGCCCAAGAUGCAAACCUAUCCUCAAUUUGGCACGAGGGCCUCGUCAGGGAUAGAAGCGCAUCUCGUCGUGUCGCAAGAAUGGAUAUCAUUACAAGUACAUGUACUGAAAAGAAGAGUUAUAUAAUAGAAUUGGCUUACACUCGCCACAAGCUACAUCAGAGUCACAUCGGUACAAUACAUAAACAUCAUGAUGAAGAGCAAGGUCCGACUACGGACGAAAACAACGAGAAAAUAAGAACGACGUCCAUCCUUGCUAUCCCAGGCUGCCGGCCUGGAACCCAUCCUAGAUCGAUGGUGAAGAAGAAGAAGAGGCAACUCCAAAUGAACAAUCAACGCGCUCGCGUCAAGUAACCUUUACUUGUACCUGCAACUGGUGUUGUAGUAAUCUGUGAGCCACAGGGGACUCAGCAAUCUCAUUUCCAAAGGUAUCAAGACUAGCAAAGCUUAGUGGGUGAGACAUGGUUAAGUGGUGAGGUUGCACCAACGGCUAAGCAUAUAUAUAUGGUGGCUAACUUACGAGUACAAGAAAUAAGAGGGGGAAGAUCUACGCAUAACAGACGUGAACUACUGAUGAUCAAAUGAAUGAUCCUGACCACCUACCUACGUCAGACAUAACCCCACUGUGUCCUCGAUCGGAGAAAGAACUCACGAAAGAGACGGUCACGGUUACGCACACAGUUGGCAUAUUUUAAUUAAGUUAACUUCAAGUUAUCUAUAAUCAGUGUUAAACAAAGUUUCCACAUUGCCACAUAACUGCGGGCACGGCUUUCCGAGAAGAUUUAACCCUGCAGGGGUGCUCCAACUAGUCCAUCACAAAUUACCACAAGCCGCAUAGAAAUCCUCAAUCACGAAGCUCACGAUCUCGUCGGAUUCCCUAGUGGAAAACCUCAACUCUGAGAUUACCCAAAGCAUCACCGGAAUCCCGAUGCACAAGAUAUUUCGUCAAAGGUAAAACUAACCCAGCAAGGCCGCCCGACGUGUCGACGAUCCCGAUAGGAGCCGCGUAUCUCGUUCUCAGGACACGACGGAUGGAAAAGCCUACAAGUACCAAUCCUCGAGUUGCCCCGUGGUGGCCCCGCAGUCUUUCCACUUUGGACCAACACUCAUGAGGAGCACUGGCCCGGGGGUUGAUUAAAUUUCGUCGGGUUAAUUAGUCCCUAUGCAGUUCAUUAGUUAUUAGGAAAAUAUAGUACCAAAGUUGGGCCUUGCCAGACCAGCUUUAUUCUAAAACGAAUUAUCAAGGGGGUCCCCAUAACAACCCCGAUCGUGUUAGGAGCGCUCAUUUAUGAAACAUAACACCGGUAGCGAAAAACUAAGGGGCAAAGGUGGAACAAAACACGAGGCUAGAAAGGCCGAGCCUUCCACCUUUUACCAAGUAUAUAGGUGCAUUAAAUUAAAUAGCAAUUAAUAUGGUGAUAUGACAAGGAACCCAUGUUAUCACAUGGAAGCAACUACACCUGCAACUAGCAACGCUAACAACAUGGUUAAUCAAGCAGUAACAUAGCCAAUCAGUGGUUUGCUAGGUCGAACAGGUUGAAGGUAAUCAUGGCAUUGUUGAGAGGCUGAUAUUUAACAUGUGAUAGUCAACGAGACAUAAACGUUAGAAGCGGUAAAACUAGCAUGGCAAUGAUAGUAAUGGUAUCUGGGGAAAUGGUCAUCUUGCCUGAGAUCCCGCUUGGAAGAAGAACAACUCUGAGAAGUCGGCGAACCAACGUAGUCGAACGGGUCUUCACAUUCCGACACGCUUGCGGAACUCUAUCGAGACGGAGCAAACUGGAAACAAACAUCAACACAAAUAUUCACCACACGAUGCACAACAUGAUGCACAACCUACCAUGAUGCAUGAUCAGUUCAAUGAUGCAAGGGAUGGCAUGGCAAUUCACCUCAGACAAACACUACACAUUAAGUGAAGCUCGAUAUGCAAUGAGUUGCAUAUCGACGAAAAUCCACAUUUAAUUAUUAGUUCACUCCCGUUAAUUUACCGACAAGAUUAAAUUGUUGUUAACAUGGCAAGGGGUGAAGCGGUGAUUCUACCUGACAUCCUAGACGGUUAACACGUGGAACAUAGAGCGGAGCUACGUCACAACAGGCAUGCAACACAAGAUAAUUAUGCUAUGAAUGCGUCAGGCAUGCGAGUUCAUUACAUCACGACAAGGAGGGAAAAGAAGCAUGUGUCGCCACGGCAAGCAAGAGGGAACCAUGGCGGCAAGACGGAAACGAAGCCAUGACUACAUUCCUAUCCCGAUAACUCGUCGAGAUAUCGUGCCAACAUAUAGGAAGCGUGUGCGGGAACGUUAAAUAAAGAUGGGGUGAUCCCGCUACCGGGUUCCCAUGUGUCGGGGCUCAACGAAAGAGGGACAACGUGCAAUGGCAACAUACGACACAAACAUACGAUACAUCUCAUACAUCACAUGCACAUGGGCACGACACGUCCCAUCGGUAUACCUUCGAAGCGUGCGAAUCGGAGGGGAUAAGUUCGUAGCGGACGUCGUGGAAGUCGUGGUCGUCGUCUCAUCGACGGUAGUCAUACACUUGGCGUCGGCACACGAGUCUUCACAUCGGUAGUCGAACACGUUCUGAACACGUCCGGGGGUCGUCGAGGAAGUCGUGGUACUCGCCGAAUUUGUCGAUGACUCACGGCAGGCGGGGAUGGUGCACGCGGCGACGACAUUCAACACAACAACAACAUCACGGCAGCAGCUACGGCUAACAGUUGCGACAGGUAUCGGCGACAGCAUCAACAACCGGCAUGGCAACUAGCCUAGCAGCAGCAAUCUAUAGCGGCAGCAGCAAAACGCAACAACAAGCCGCGGCAAAAACAUCAUCGGCUUAGCAGCAAAGCAGGCUAGUACUAGCAACUACAACAAGUAAACAGGCGGGCAGCUACAGCAAACGGCAGCCUAGCACAGCAACUAGCAGGCAAGCUAGCAAGCUAUGGCACAUCACCUAGCAGGAGCAACACCUACCGCAGCGCAGCAGGCACUAGCAAUCUAAGCAGCAGCCAGCAGGGCAGGCAACGACAUCAGGAAGAGCAACUCCAAGCAGCUAGCUACGCAGCAAGCAACAGCUACAGCUGCAGCAGGCCACGCAAGCAAGCGCGACAGGAGGAGGCCAACGAGGCAGCAGCAACACCUCGGCAGCGGCGCAAGCAGGCCACGGCGGGUGUGGGGAACGGCCAUGGCGGGGCGACGCCGACGGAGGCGAGAAGCACGGCGGGCAGGGCGACGAGCGGAGCACGGAGCACCUCGGGCAGGGGAACGGCCAUGGUGACAUCCACAACAUAAGACACGGCAAGCAGCAAGAGCAAGGCACGCAGCGACAGGGCGGCGCACCGGCGAGCACGACAAGAGGCGAGGGCGAGGCGGACGAGCAUGGCAGCGCGCGGGGGAGGAGCAGCUCGAGGCCUGGCGGGCGAGCAGUGCGGCGGAGGAGGGGGUCGGGCCAUGCCGGACGGAGGCGCGCGAGCGCCGACGGGAAGCUUGUGGAGGCGGCGGCGCACGGCCAUGGCGAGGCAAGGUGAGGCCGAGGCGAGCUGCGGGAGGCCAGGGCGUCGUGCAGCUCGGGGAACGGCGGGGUCGGGGCUAGGGUGAGAGGCUAGGCAGGGGAGGAGAUGGAUCGGGGCACACUACGGGAGGAGAGAGGGUUCGGGCAGGGGAAGAGGAGAGGGACGAGGGAGAGGGGAUCGGGGGAACAGGGCGACGGCCCUGCGGGAGGACGAGGGGAAACGGGCUGGGCGCUAGGGUUGGAGUGGGGGGUCUAGCUGGGCCUUGGCCGGUUGGGCCUCUGCCUCUCUUUUGUAUAUUUUUUUUUUUACUUUUAGAACAGAAAAAUCUUAAAACAAAGGAAAUUUUUUAACAAAAAUAAAAAAGGCUUUUGGCUCCUUUGAAAAUUAAACCCCAACUAUAAGAAAUAGAUUGGGCUUUUAAAAUAAUAAGAUGAAACCUUUUGAAGAAAUAAUAAAAACCCUUUUUACAAAAGAAUAAAAUCAAACCCCUUUUAGAAAUAAAAAUGCAACUCUAGUUGAAAUGAAACAAAAGAAGAAAUAAGAGAAAAACCCAAGGGGUUGCCCCCAUCUUUUAACAAAAGGAGUUUUAAAAGAAGACGAUUUUUAAAAGGGGUUAAAACGGAAUCUUUUACACAACCCCAAAAUAAAUAAAAGAGAAGAGAGGAGGGGAGUUUCUAUCACACUAAGACUCGGCGAGCACUCGAAGCACACACACUCAAAACACCACACGCGACAGGCGAUGCAAGAUGCCAUGCAUGAUGCGACGAUGCAAACUAAAUGAUGAUGCAACAAAUAAAAUUAACCACACAACGGAAACGGAAAAUAAAGGGGAAUCUUCUGGGGCGUCGGUCUCUGGCUGUCACAGGUAUCAAGGUCACGGUCAUCUUGCCUGUGAUGUCUUCAACUUGGAACUGCUCUUGAUCGUCCUGCACGUACUCCCCAGAAUCCACGUACUUGCUCUCCGAUCCCGGUGCUACCCAAGAUAGAAAUAACAGCCAAUGAACACCAACACAACCUGAUGCCACAAACAACAUUAUGCAUGAGAUGAGAAUGAAGCAUGCAUCACUAUUCUAGUCACUUGCAUAUGCAUGAGAAGAAAAGGUAAACUUCUGGACAGAACUUCUCACACUAAGCUAUCUUGACAUGCAUGAAGAUGGUAGGAACAGGUGCAUCACGGGAAAACAAUGCAAAAACAUAUAAAGAACGUUGAGAAUGGAGCUACGGAUCAACCGGAGACUACGAAACAAGAUAUGGAGUCGUACAGUUCAAAUCCACCACAAGCACACUCCAAUGGCACUCUUCUGGUGUUCCCAGGUUUCCACAUGAUCAAACAAACAAAUAUAAGUGGGGUGGUGCAGAGAAUCUCACCACACCACCAACAAUACUCACACAAGCUUCAAAACAACUAAAACAUGCAAUCUGUCCUAAACAACAUCAUAGCAGUUUGUCUACAACAUUCAAAGUACCUACAGCCAUCCAAGAGCCAAACAAGAUAUGUGGCAAAAGCCAUUCAAAAGCUCUACAAGCCUGAGCAAUAAGCUACUGCAAAGGCAUCACACAUGAGAAGAUCUAUGGUCACAAACUUGGACAAAAAUAACAGAUUUCUGGGACUUUGUGAAAAUCUCAGAUUUUCACCAGCUGCUUAUGCUCUGAAGCAUUUUGACAGCCUCCAAAAUGAUAUCUACAGGAAGUGAAAAUGCAUGAAAUUUAACAGAGAGCUAGAUAAACCCAAAAGCUUACGAACCUUAGUUUGUUGCAGGGGCUGAUUCCCAACACAUGAGCUUGUGCAACCACAUCAACAAGGGAAGAAAAUAACAUCAGUUUCUCAGAUUUAGUGAAAAUCACAGAUUUUCACAAAGCUGACAAUUUCAGCCACAUACCAACUUUGACAAGGCACAACUAGCACAUACAAACUCCUAUGUAUAAAACAAAGACUCCAUGUUGUAGAGGGGUUCACCCACUACUGCCACAUCAAGGAUUCAUCCUCAUAGGCCCAACACACCACAUGUCACCAAGCUCUAAACAUAGCAUCAAGACAGAAAAAAUGACAGUUUAUGGAGUUGCUCUAAAGUGAAAUCUGAUUCCACCAAUGGAUUCCUCGGAACUUUCUACCCCAAAAACAUAUAUUAUACUUGGGUACUUGCAUAUAACAUGUGGGCACAAAGUUAAAUCGAAAAACUACAUAGAAAUCCAUAAGGCCAAAUAGUGCAUUAUCACAUGUGAUGUUCACUAUAUCAUCACCUACACUUGCAUCCACAUCACACAAUCCUAAUAGUGACCAUGAGGGGUUAGCCCUCAUGCUCAUGUGCCUAAGCACCAAUCACACACCUACAUACAUGCAAGCACUCACUAUGCACCUGCACAUGCUAGAUCAACUACACACACCUACACAUACCUAGGUGUUUAAAGAUACACCCCUGGUACUAAGGCAACCAUGACACCUUGCUCAUGUGUGUGUUUCACACACACACACACACACACACAAGCACCACAUGUGCACACCCACACACCUACACGCAACUACAUGUAUGCCCACCCUAUACACAUACACACCAUACAUACUCAUACAUGCAUGUAACUAAGCACAUCAGGGAGAAGAUCUACCCUGGUAUUAAAUUCUAACAUAAACAAUCUUGCUGCAAAAGUAAAAGAAAAUAAAAUAAAAAGAAAACUAAAAGGAACAACAACAACAAAACCAAGAGGAGGACCGUGGGAUCGAACCCACGUCUCCCUUGUAGUACCACACCGCACACACCACUACACUAGCACUCGACGUUCGACAGAAAGGGGAAGGGAAUCAGGAAAUGCUUCCCUGUCGAGCUACUGUUCUACGAAAAAUCGAAAUUAAAAAGGGGCGCCUUGGGUUAUCGAACCCACGACCACUCGCGCCAAAACACCACUGCUACCACUCGGCUACACACGCGACACUUAACAAAGAGGGUGAGGUAACUCUCUCGAGUAACCCCCCUCUGCUACUCCUACAGUCGACGGCGACCGGAACACGGGAAGAUCACCGCCGACGCUACAGACCAAAUUGGGCGGAGCGAGCUGGCGGGGAGGAAGAGGGGUUCGAAAGGGACCCAUUUUCCUCCUAAGCACACCGAGAGGUGCACUACUGCGGCGUUCCUACGACACGACGGCGACACUGCUACGGUUCUAGGAGGGGAUCUACUAGCAGGGAAUGGGAGGAGAUCGUUGGGCUAGCUCACCCUACGCAUCGAGGAGGACGGGCACGACGUGGAGGAAGAAGACGACGAAGAGGAAGAAGAGGCUGCAGUUGAUCUCGUCGGAGCAUAGGAGGAAGAAGGUCGUCGUGGACGUCGAGGAAGAAGGGGCUGCUUGCUGCGGGAACGGCACCUCCGGAGACACCGCGUCCUCCUGGUGCCGUCGAAGGGGCGAAGGGGCUUCAUGAUCUGCUGUUGCUCGAGCUCACCGAAGGCCUCUCAUGGCGCCAGCGUCGCGAGGGGCCUUCCUGACAGCGCGAGGGGGAGGAGAAGGGGGGAAUGGGUCGACCUAGGGUUGGAGAGGACGGCGAGCAGCUUAUAUCACCUAGGGAGGCGCGCUGGAGCCGCAGGAUCAAGGGAAGGAUGGAUCGGUGGUGGGGGAGCGUUCGUACAGUGGUGACGACAGCGAGGAGGAAGAAGGUUCGCCGGUUGGGCCGCGCUAACGCUCACAGAGAGGAGAUGGGCUGACGGGAAGGAGGAAGUCCACCCUGUUGCCGCCACUUAAACAGAAAAGAAAUCAUAAGGGUUUUUUCCUUUUUUUAAACAAAACAGAGCCAAACAAUACUACCUAGGCGAAAUUGUGGACCCAAAAAGAAAAUAAAAAUGCACGUGGUCAUAGGGGAAUUAUGACCCAUUUAAAUAAAAUGAAAAGAGGAUUUUGGGGCAUUUAAAAAUAAAUUCAAAACAGAUUUAAGUAAAUGUGUUUUCAAGGUUUAAACCACAAAUAAAUCAAGUUUUAAAACCCCUUGACACAUUCUAAACCCACAAGGAUUAGCACUAAAAGAACAACAUUUUUAAAUCAGGUUUAAAACAAGUUUCAACAUGGGGUUUUCCAAAUAAAAAGGAGAAGGAGCUCUUAUUGGAAUAUAGUUUGAAACCAAGCAUGGUUUGACCUCCUCAUCACCCAUACAUCACAUCCCACUCAUGAAAACAAGCAACACAUCAUUACCAAAUCUACAACAAUGAACAAGCAACACCACCACAAGGGUUGACAUGAAAUCAUAAGGCCAUAUGCAAAGGGGAGACACACCAAAAUCAUAAGAGAUGACACCUGAAAUCACAACUCAUAAGCAAUGUCACAUGGAUCCAACAUGAAAGGAUUCCAAAUAUGGAAAAUUACCUCUGGGCCAUUAAAAUUAUUUCCAAAAUACUUCUUGUCCUUGACAAUUGGUAUUCCCAUCAUGUGGUAAAAAUUGCUAAUCAUCUUUACAUUGGAUUUUGUGUUUCGUUUGUCUUCCUUGCCUCUUGUGGAUCUAUUUUAACAUGUCUAGUGUUUGUAUAGAUAUAGAGAAAGUGAUGACCCCAUCUUGUGCAUUUAGUAUUUAAAUGCAAAUUCUAUAUAAUGCACAUCCCUUGGGGGAGCUAUCCUAUUUUCUUUAGAACACUCUCUUUAUUCGUCCAUCAUAAAAUCUUUUGAUCCCCAUCAUGUGUGUCGAUGGGAGGCAAGUCUUGAUCUUUAUGAUGCUUUGUGCCAUCAUUAAAAUUUGUCGAGGUUUUAUUUUGGAACCUAGCUCUCUUUUGGAAACUAGAUACCUCGUGUUUGUUUUUCUUCAAUUGGUAUCUUGUUUCCUUUUAUUUGGCAUGUGUCAAUGGAUAUCUCAUUCCUUGAGGUAUCUUUUAAUUGAUAUCCUUCAAGUGAUAGUUUUCCGUUGGGAUCUUAUUAUCACUUGAUACCUUGUCUUUUGGUGACUUAUCAACUUUGUGUUGAGUUGAUUCUUGAAAGCCUUGAGCAUGCGUAUUUACUAUAUAUAGCUUCUUUUGCAUGCUUUCUUUCCUUGACCCGAUAUAUAGGGGAAACUCCACCUUGUCAUAAAUUGGCUAAAGUGUGCAUGAAAUUCAAUUUCAUAUCUAUAUGCACAUAUUUAUGUGGAGUUUGUCCUAUGUAUUGUUGGUUUUCUAACUCUUUGGUCCCAAUGAGUUUGGGCACCAUUUUGUUUGUUUGUUGUUCUAGGAACAAUUGGAGAUGCAUUGGAUGCUCGGUGAAAGGAUCGAUAUGGUUGACUAGAGGGGGGGGUGAAUAGGCAACGACCACUUUUUAAUUAAUCUUAGCAAGUUAGGGUAAGCAACAUAAGGGUUCACUAAAAUGACAACAAAUAGGUGAACCUAUAUGAUGCUAACAACAAAGAUAACUAAGGCAAGUAAGAGAUACAGAACAACAUAAGCAUACACGAUGUAAAGGUUAGAGAUAACCACAAGUGGAACCAAUGAAGACGAGGAUGUGUUACUAAAGUUCCUUCCCUUUGACAGGAAGUACGUCUCCGUUGGAGCGGUGUGGAGGCACAAUGCUCCCCAAUAAGCCACUAGGGCAACCGUAUUCUCCUCACGCCCUCACAUGAUGCAAGGUAUCGUGGUUCCACUAUAGGUACCCUUGAAGGGGGCGACUGAACCUUUACAAACAAGGUUGGGGCAAACUCCACACAAAGCUUGGAGGCUCCCAACAAGACCACGAAGCUUCACCACAAUGGAAUGUGGCUCCGAGGUGACCUCAACCGUCUAGGGUGCUCAAACACCCAAGAGUAACAAAAUCCGCAAGGGAUUGGUGGGGGAAUCAACUUUUCUCUUGGUGGAAGUGUAGAUCUAGGCCUUCUCAACCAAUCCCUAAAGAAUCAACAAGUUUGAUUGGCUAGGGAGAGAGAUCGGGCACUUUUGAGCUUAGGGAGCAACAAUGGAGCUUGGGAGGGUCAAAGGUAGGGUUCUAGAGCAAGAAGAACCCCUUAUAUAGUGGGGGGGGGGGAAUCCAACCGUUUUCCCACUCAUAGCCCGAGCCUAGCGGUACUACCGCUCGCACUCCAGCGGUACUACCGCUGGCUGUAGCGGUACUACUGCUGGGCCCCUGAUAGUGCACAUGCACUACCGGGCCAACCACCGCCAAGAAAGUCUUCGCAAAAAGUCCGACGAAGUACAGCCGCUAGGAAGACGGUACUAAGUUCCUGGAGCGGUACUACCGCUGACCACGGGCGGUACUACCGCCAGCACAGCGGUACUACCGCCAGCACUAGCGGUACUACCGCUAGGGCGAGCGGUACUACCGCCAGCUCCAGCAGUACUACCGUUGGGAGACCUUUUUGCUUAGAGGAGACAAACCAUAGGUGGGAGCCACUCUAAAGUUGCACGGAAAGGUAAAGGAGAUAAAGUGUGUGUGUGCAAAAUUGAUUCCACCCAAACCUUUCCACUACGGAUCCCCUCUUAAUAGUAUGGCGUUCCUAUGACUCAAAGAAAGAGAAUCGUAGAGUACACCGUGCUUCUGUUCCAUGGAAGGAAGGGGCGAGUCGUCUUGUGCCGUUGACAUGUGUUCUCUGAAAUCUCAACACACACGAUUAGUCCUUUGCGGUACUGUCAUCAAUCACCAAAAUUACUUAGGCAUAAAAUAUGCCCUAACAAUCUCCCCCUUUUGGUGGAUUGAUGACAAUACCGGAUUUGCACAGUGAAUAGCAUGUGAACAUAAAGAUAAUGGUAGAGACAGUUAAGGAGCAUAUGACUCAUAGCAUAUGAUAGAAAUAAGUCUCACGGUAGUCCAAGUCUCACAUCACACAAAGCAAAGAUAGCAGAUAAGAGCAAACCAAGUUCAAAGCAAACACAAUAAAGAUAAGCAAAGCUAAAGCAAAGCGCAAAUCCAGCUCCUAGACUCUCUCCCCCUUUGGCAAAAGACACCAAAAAGGGGCAUACCUAAGGACACACGUGGUCACUCCGCAUCCUCAUCAGCCCCAGACUCGUCCGUGGCAUCCGGAUCGUCCUGCUCCUCCUCAUUGUCCUCCUGAGACGCCUCCUCCUCUGCAUCAGACCACUGAUAACCUUGAGCCCGCAUCCAAUCAGACUCUGGAGUGAUGUCAUCCUCUGAGCCGUUGGAGAUAUCAACAUCAAGUGUCCUUAAGACACGCUUGUGCCUCUGAUGGUUCUCCUUCUGGGCCACAUGAGACUGAUACUGUCCCUUGGCCUGCCCAAGAUGGCAUAGUAGUUUCACUGCCCAAGAUGGCAUAGCACAAGAGCGGGACUGAGAAGCGGGGCCUCUGUCAGCAGCAGUGUCUGUGUCAGUGUCCAUGUGCUGAGACAAAGUGGAUGGGUUGGCCCAUUUGUCUUUGAUACGUAGCUUGAUAGGAUCAUGCACAAAGUAAUCAGCCUGAAUAGGGAACUCAUCGACCAGAUAGACGUCGUGCCACCUCUGGCGAAUAUAGGCAAACAAGUAGGGCCCGUAGAUGGGAACCUUGCGGUUCAUCAUGCAGUUCGAGAGCUCAUUGAACAUCAUGUGGGCAAUAUCGAGAGGGGAAGAUUCCUUAAUCUUAGCCUCCUCACAGAGCAGAAGCAUCUCAGCUAGAUGACCAUGCACCUCGUCAAAGUUGGCAAUGCGAGGAAAGAGAGUGUUGCGGAAGAUCCGAUGCAUGAUAUCGAGAUGCUUGGGGAGCACACCUUUCUUCACAUAGAGUUGUUGCAGCCUGUCCUUGGGGGUGGCAGUGGAUGAAGAUGGAGCAUGAGGACGCAACCCAAGAGGAGUUUCAUCUCCGUGAAAGUCGACCUUGAGAAGCUUCAUGAAUUCUGACCAGGAACCUGUCAUCUUCUGAGUACCAGUCAUCCAAGUCAUGGCGCGCUCGUCAUCGGUAACAAGUAUCUACUUGAUGCAUACAUUCCUUGCAAGGCUCGAACAUGUCUUCUCUUGGCUGAGCGGUACUACAGUGGUUAGCCACGGUACUACCGCUAGAGAUGUGUUACUACUACACUCAUGCAGUAGCAGCACCGACACGGUACUACCGCAUCCAGCACGACAAUAUUUUUCUGCUGCCGCUGGACGAACGGUACAACCACCCAACGAGCGGGAGUAAAAUUUAACAACCGCUGGCCAGACGAUACUACCGUGAUGACGUGCGGUACUACCGCGUUGUGGGGACCGCGAGGGGUUAUACCGUCCUCUCGUGGUUCUGUCUCUCUCUCCAGGUUGCAUCUUGGCAUGAAUCUCUUGAUUCGUUCUUGUGGUACUUGUUUCCUUUCUCAAAGCAUCCAAACGAUGAUGUCUUAUUGCUAGUUGGGAUGUCUUUGAUAUUCGUAUGUUGGAAGUUCAUAUUGUACAAUAAGAAAAUAUUAGGCCAUGUGCUAUGCUUCCAAGCAAAGACCAUAUUGAUAUAUAUUUAUAACUUCCUUUUGGAUAUCUUGUUUGUUCCUUCUUGUAACCAUUUCGUGUGUACAUCCUUCUUUGUGGAUAUAUAUCAUCACGAGUGUAUUCUACCUACAAUCUUUUACACAUGAGAGAAGUUACAUCUCUAAUUUAUAUCCUCUUUUCUUUCACGUCCACCGUUGCAUUUCGUUUUUCAGUUUUUGGUGGCUUCGUGAAAGGAUUUGUCUUGAGUGUGUAUCUUAUAUUCUUGCAUCUUGAUGCACUCUUUGGUGAAGAAGAUUAUUGGCUUUCCUAUGUGUCACGCCCAAGAUGCGACCCUAUCCUCAAUUUGGCACGAGGGCCUCGUCAGGGAUAGAAGCGCAUCUCAUCGUGUCGCAAGAAUGGAUAUCGUUACAAGUACAUGUACUGAAAAGAAGAGUUAUAUAUAUAGAAUUGGCUUACACUCACCACAAGCUACAUCAGAGUCACAUCAGUACAAUACAUAAUCAUCAUGAAUAAGAGCAGGGUCCGACUACGGACGAAAACAAACGAGAAAAGAAGAACGACGUCCAUCCUUGCUAUCCCAGGCUGCUGGCCUGGAACCCAUCCUAGAUCGAUGAAGAAGAAGAAGAAGAAGCAACUCCAAAUGAACAAUCAAUGCGCUCGCAUCAAGUAACCUCUAUCUGUACCUGCAACUGGUGUUGUAGUAAUCUGUGAGCCACAGGGGACUCAACAAUCUCAUUUCCAAAGGUAUCAAGACUAGCAAAGCUUAAUGGGUGAGGCAUGGUUAAGUGGUGAGGUUGCAGUAGCGGCUAAGUAUAUAUUUGGUGGCUAACUUACGAGUACAAGAAAUAAGAGGGGGGAAGAUCUACGCAUAGAGGACGUGAACUACGGUUGAUCAAAUGAAUGAUCCUAAACACCUACCUACGUCAGACAUAACCCCACCGUGACCUCGAUCGGAGAAGGAACUCACAAAAGAGACAGUCACGGCUACGCACACAGUUGGCAAGUUUUAAUUAAAUUAACUUCAAGUUAUCUAGAACCAGUGUUAAACAAAGCUUCCACGUUGCCACAUAACCGCGGGCACGGCUUUUCGAAAGAUUUGACCCUGCAGGGGUGCUCCCACUAGUCCAUCACAAAUUACCACAAGCCGCAUAGAAAUCCUCGAUCACGAAGCUCGCGAUCUCGUCGGACUCCUUAGUGGAAAACCUCAACUCUGAGAUUACCCAAAGCAUCACCAGAAUCCCGAUGCACAAGAUAUCUCGUAAAAGGUAAAACUAAUCCAGCAAGGCCACCCGACGUGUUGACGAUCCCGAUAGGAGCCGCGUAUCUCGUUCUCAGGACACGACGGAUAAGCGAAGCGUACGGUGGCCUGAUAGAAAUCUCCCGAGUUGCCCCGGGUUGGCCCCGCACGGUGCUCUGUUUUGGACCAGCACCAUCAGCACUGGGCCCCUGUAUUAUGUGAAAUUACUCCUCGGGUUCAUGACGCCCUAUGCUUUCAGUAUUAUCAAAGUUAUUAUGUUGGGCAAAUGUAGUACCAAUGUUGGGCCUUGCCAGACCAGCUUUAACCUAAAACGAAUUAUCAAGGGGGUCCCCAUAACAACCCCGAUCGUGUUAGGAGCGCUCAAUUAUGGAACAUAACACCGGUAGCCGAAACUAAGGGAGCAAAGGUGGAACAAAACACCAGGCUAGAAAGGCCGAGCCUUCCACCUUUUACCAAGUGUAUAGGUAAAUUAAAUUAAAUAACAAUUAAUAUGGUGAUAUAACAAGGAACCCAUGUUAUCACAUGGAAGCAACCACACCUGCAACUAGCAAUGCUAACAACAGGGUUAAGCAAGCAGUAACAUAGCCAAUCAGUAGUUUGCUAGGUCGAACUGGUAGAAGAUUUUCAUGGCAUUGUUGAGAGGCUGAUAUUUAACAUGUGGUAGGCAACGAGACAUAAAUGAUAGAAGUGGUAAAACUAGCAUGGCAAUGAUAGUAAUGGUAUCUCGGGAAAUGGUCAUCUUGCCUGAGAUCCCGCUUGGAAGAAGAACAAUUCCGUGAAGCACACGAACCAACGUAGUCGAACGGGUCCUCACAUUCCGCACGCUUGCGGAACUCUAUCAAGACGGAGCAAACCGGAAACAAACAUCAACACAGAUAUUCACCACACGAUGCACAAUAUGAUGCACAACCUACUAUGAUGCAUGAACAGAUCAAUGAUGCAAGGCAUGACAUGGCAAUUCACCUCACACAAACACUACACAUUAAGUGAAGCUCGGUAUCCAACGAGUUGCAUAUCGUCGAAACUCCACGUUUAAUUAUUUAGUUCACUCCUGAUUAUUUACACAGCAAUAUUUAAUUGUUGUUAACAUGGCAAGGGGUGAAGCGGUGAUUCUACAUGACAUCCUAGACGGUUAACACGCGGAACAUAGAACGGAGCUACGUACAAGAGACAUGCAACACAACAUAUAUGCCAUGAAUGUGGCAUGCAUGCGAGUUCACAACAAAACGGGCAAGAAGAUAAGAAGCAUGUGUCGCCACGGCGAGCGAAAGGGAACCAUGGCGGCAAAACGGAAACGAAGCCGCGGCAACGUUCCUAUCCCGAUACUCAACGAGAUGUCGGUGCCAACGAACUAGAAGCGUGUGCGGGAACGCCAAAUAAUGAUGGUGUGAUCCCGUUUAUCGGGUUCCCAUGUGUCGGGGUCACGCAAAAGAGGAACAACGUGCAACAGGCAAACAUAUGGCGCAAACAUACGAUACAUAUCAUACAACAUUUGCAUUUUGUUCACGACAACGUCCCAUCGAUAUACCUUCGAAGCGUGCAUAUCGGAGCGGUUCGAGUCAUAGCGGACGUCGUGGAAGUCGUGGUCGUCGUGGAAGUCGUUGUGCACGGUCUCGUCGACGGUAGUCAUACACUUGGCGUCGGUAGACGAACACGGGUCUUCGACGAAGAUCCAAUAUGCAGUCGGGCAAGGCAACAGCAGCAAGCAGCACUAGCAAUAAUCGUCGGCGACGGCAGCAAGCAAGCAACACACAUGCACAACAGCUAGCUACUAACAGCAACAACUACAAGCUACGACAACUAGCAACGGCAGCUAACAACCUACAACGGCUAAGCAACAGCAGCAACAUCUACAGCGGCGGCAGCACAAGCAACAUCUACAGCGGUGACUAGCAGCAGCACAAGCAAACAACAAGAGCAUCAGGCGGCGGGAAAGCACGGCAGCAGAACAAUGCAUCGGCAACAGCCAUGCAUAGCGGCAGCAAUCAGCAACUCAAGCUAGCAGUAACCGGCUGCACAAGCACAUGGCAGCAGCAAGAGUGAUAAACUACCUAGCAACAGCAAUCAACUAGCAGGCAAGCAAGCGACUAACAAGCAAAACAAGCAGCAGCUACAACUAGCAAGCUAGCACAACAGCUAGCUACGGCAUGCAUCGGCAGCAGCUACAUCAACAGGCAAGCAGCAGCUCGGCAGCAUAGUAGCAAGCAACAGCUUCGGCAGGAGGUGGCCGGGGUCCUGGAGGCUUGGCAGCGGCGCAUCGGGUGCUCGACACGGGGCACGCAAGCACGGCGGGCGUGCGGGACCUUGUGGCGGCGCUGGGGAGCUCCUGCGGCAGGGGAAGAGGGAACCGAGUUGGGGCAGGGAGGUGACCACGGCGGGCGGCGCGGGGAGCAGCGAGGCGGCGCGGCGCACCGGCUGCUGGUGGCGGGGGCGGACGAGGUCGGCAGCGCCAGUAGGCGAGGACGCGGGCGAGGGGCGAGGCCGCGGGCGAGGGGCGAGGCCGAGGCCGAGGGCGGCGCGAGCAUGGGUGAGGGAGCACGGGACCAAGGCGCGGGAGGCGGCGACCAUGGCGGCGGCACACCGGGACGGCGCGCGGCGGCUGUCGAGCAAAAAUAAAUAAAUAAAUACCUUUUGACUUCUUAAAAACAUACCCCAACUAUAAAAAAUAGAUUGGGCAUUUUUUUAACAAAUAAAAAUGAAACCUUUUUGAAGAAUAAAAUAAAACCUCUUUUAAAAAUAAAAUGAGUCUCUAGUUUUGAAAAUAAACAAAAGGAAAAAAAAUAAAGGAAACCCAAGGGUUGCCCCACAUUGAACAAAUGAUUUUAAAGGAAGACGAACUUGUUUAAUAGGGGUUAAAACUGAAAUCAAUCGCAGCCACAAAAAUAUAAUAGAGAGGAGACAAGGGUUUUACGUCCUCGGUGCAACAUGGUUUUGAAGUGGCUCUGUUGCACCCACUCUCAUCACUCCAACAAAACAACGCCACUCACAAGCAUUAACACCCAACAACACGGAGCUUUGUAAACGGUUACAUUUCCGUUUGCAUCAGUCUUCUUCUUGAAGAUCCAUUUAUUUUCUAUGGCUCGCCGUUCAUCGGGCNNNNNNNNNNNNNNNNNNNAGCGCUGGUAAGGUACACAUCAAUAACAUGUAUAUCACAUAUACCGUUAACGUUGCCGGCCUUCUUGUCCGCUAAGUAUUUGGGGCAGUUCCGCUUCCAGUGACCUUUUCCCUUGCAGUAGAAGCACUCAGUCUCAGGCUUGGGUCCGUUCUUUUUCUUCUUCCCAGCAUCUGGCUUACCGGGCGCGGCAACAGCUUUGCCGUCUUUCUUGAAGUUCUUCUUACCCCUGCCUUUCUUGAAACUAGUGGUCUUGUUGACCAUCAACACUUGAUGCUCCUUCUUGAUUUCUACUUCUGCAGACUUGAGCAUCGAGUACAACUCGGGAAUGGUUUUCUCCAUCCCUUGCAUGUUGUAGUUAAGCACAAAGCCUUUGUAGCUUGGUGGGAGAGACUGGAGGAUUCUGUCAAUGAUAGCAUCAUCCGGAAGUUCGACUCCAAGUGAAGUCAGACGACCGUGUAACCCAGACAUUUUGAGUAUGUGCUCACUGACAGAACUGUUCUCCUCCAUCUUACAGCUGAAGAACUUGUCGGAGACUUCAUAUCUCUCGACACGGGCAUGAGCUUGAAAUACUAGCUUCAGCUCUUGGAACAUCUCAUAUGCCCCGUGUUGCUCAAAACGUCUUUGGAGCCCCGUUUCUAAACUGUAUAACAUGCCACACCUGACCAGAGAGUAGUCAUCACUUCGCGCUUGCCAGACGUUUAGAACGUCCUGCGCUGCUGCAGGAGCGGGAGGGUCACCUAGCGGCGCAUUAAGGACAUAAGCCUUUUUAGCUGCUUCAAGGAUGAGCUUCAGGUUGCGAACCCAGUCCGCAUAGUUGCUACCAUCAUCUUUCAGCUUGUUUUUCUCUAGGAAUGCGUUGAAGUUGAGGUUGACGUUGGACAUCUACAAUAUUUAUAAAGACAACUUUUAGACUAAGUUCAUGACAAUUAAGUUCAUUUAAUCAAAUUAAGUAUGAACUCCCACUUAAAUCGACAUCCCUCUAGUCAUCUAAGUGAUACAUGAUCAAUGUUGACUAACCCGUGUCCGAUCAUCACGUGAGACGGACUAGUCACCAUGGUGAGCAACUUCAUGCUGAUCGUAUUCAACCAUACGACUCAUGUUCGACCUUUCGGUCUCUUGUAUUCGAGGUCAUGUCUGCACAUGCUAAGCUCGUCGAGUCAACCUAAGUGUUUUCUGUUGGGGAACGUCGCAUGGGAAACAAAAAUUUCCUACGUGCACGAAGACCUAUCAUGGUGAUGUCCAUCUACGAGAGGGGAUGAGUGAUCUACGUACCCUUGUAGAUCGCACAGCAGAAGCGUUAGAGAACGCGGUUGAUGUAGUGGAACGUCCUCACGUCCCUCGAUCCGCCCCGCGAACAAUCCCGCGAUCAGUCCCACGAUCUAGUACCGAACGGACGGCACCUCCGCGUUCAGCACACGUACAGCUCGACGAUGAUCUCGGCCUUCUUGAUCCAGCAAGAGAGACGGAGAGGUACAAGAGUUCUCCGGCAGCGUGACGGCGCUCCGGAGGUUGGUGAUGAUCUUGUCUCAGCAGGGCUUCGCCCGAGCUCCGCAGAAACACGAUCUAGAGGAAAAACUAUGGAGGUAUGUGGUCGGGCAGCCGUGAAAAAGUCAUCUCAAAUCUGCCCUAAAAGCCCCAUAUAUAUAGGAGGAGGGAGGGGGACCUUGCCUUGGGGUCCAAGGGAUCCCCAAGGGGUCGGCCGAGCCAGGGGGGAGGACUCUCCCCCCCAAACCGAGUCCUACUUGGUUUGGUGGGAGGGAGUCCUUCCCCCUUCCCACUUCUUCCUUUUUUUUUCUUUCCUUUGAUUUUUUCUCUCUUGGCGCAUAGGGGAUUGGUGGGCUGUCCCACCAGCCCACUAAGGGCGGGUGUGAACCCCCAAAUGCCUAUGGGCUUCCCCGGAGUGAGUUGCCCCCCUCCGGUGAACUCCCGGAACCCAUUCGUCAUUCCCGGUACAUUCCCGGUAACUCCGAAAACCUUCCGGUAAUCAAAUGAGGUCAUCCUAUAUAUCAAUCUUCAUUUCCGGACCAUUCCGGAAACCCUCGUGACGUCCGUGAUCUCAUCCGGGACUCCGAACAACAUUCGGUAACCAACCAUAUAACUCAAAUACGCAUAAAACAACGUCGAACCUUAAGUGUGCAGACCCUGCGGGUUCGAGAACUAUGUAGACAUGACCCGAGAGACUCCUCGGUCAAUAUCCAACAGCGGGACCUGGAUGCCCAUAUUGGAUCCUACAUAUUCUACGAAGAUCUUAUCGUUUGAACCUUAGUGCCAAGGAUUCGUAUAAUCCCGUAUGUCAUUCCCUUUGUCCUUCGGUAUGUUACUUGCCCGAGAUUCGAUCGUCAGUAUCCGUAUACCUAUUUCAAUCUCGUUUACCGGCAAGUCUCUUUACUCGUUCCGUAAUACAAGAUCCCGCAACUUACACUAAGUUACAUUGCUUGCAAGGCUUAUGUGUGAUGUUGUAUUACCGAGUGGGCCCCGAGAUACCUCUCCGUCACACGGAGUGACAAAUCCCAGUCUUGAUCCAUACUAACUCAACCAACACCUUCGGAGAUACCUGUAGAGCAUCUUUAUAGUCACCCAAUUACGUUGCGACGUUUGAUACACACAAAGCAUUCCUCCGGUGUCAGUGAGUUAUAUGAUCUCAUGGUCAUAGGAAUAAAUACUUGACACGCAGAAAACAGUAGCAACAAAAUGACACGAUCAACAUGCUACGUCUAUUAGUUUGGGUCUAGUCCAUCACGUGAUUCUCCCAAUGACGUGAUCCAGUUAUCAAGCAACAACACUUUGUUCAUAAUCAGAAGACACUGACUAUCAUUGAUCAACUGGCUAGCCAACUAGAGGCAUGCUAGGGACGGUGUUUUGUCUAUGUAUCCACACAUGUAAAUGAGUCUUCAUUCAAUACAAUUAUAGCAUGGAUAAUAAACUAUUAUCUUGAUACAAGAAUUAUAAUAAUAACUAUAUUUAUUAUUGCCUCUAGGGCAUAAUUCCAACAUUUUGCGUGUGUAAAUCUGGCUUACACCUGUUGUAUGCGAACGUUAGAAUCUAUCACACCCGAUCAUCACGUGGUGCUUCGAGACAACGAACCUUCGCAACGGUGCACACUUAGGGGAAUACGUUCUCGAAAUUUUAGGAGGGAUCAUCUUAUUAUGCUACCGUCGUUUUAAGCAAUAAGAUGUAAAACAUGAUAAACAUCACAAUGCAAUCAUAUAGUGACAUGAUAUGGCCAUUAUCAUCUUUGCUCAUUNNNNNNNNNNNNNNNNNNNNNNNNNNNNNCUAAGUGAUACAUGAUCCAUGUUGACUAACCCGUGUCCGAUCAUCACGUGAGACGGACUAGUCACCAUGGUGAGCAACUUCAUGCUGAUCAUAUUCAACCAUACGACUCAUGUUCGACCUUUCGGUCUCUUGUAUUCGAGGUCAUGUCUGUACAUGCUAAGCUCGUCGAGUCAACCUAAGUGUUUUGCGUGUGUAAAUCUGGCUUACACCCGUUGUAUGCGAACGUUANNNNNNNNNNNNNNNNNNNNNNNNNNNNNNNNNNNNNNNNNNNNNNNNNNNNNNNNNNNNNNNNNNNNNNNNNNNNNNNNNNNNNNNNNNNNNNNNNNNNNNNNNNNNNNNNNNNNNNNNNNNNNNNNNNNNNNNNNNNNNNNNNNNNNNNNNNNNNNNNNNNNNNNNNNNNNNNNNNNNNNNNNNNNNNNNNNNNNNNNNNNNNNNNNNNNNNNNNNNNNNNNNNNNNNNNNNNNNNNNNNNNNNNNNNNNNNNNNNNNNNNNNNNNNNNNNNNNNNNNNNNNNNNNNNNNNNNNNNNNNNNNNNNNNNNNNNNNNNNNNNNNNNNNNNNNNNNNNNNNNNNNNNNNNNNNNNNNNNNNNNNNNNNNNNNNNNNNNNNNNNNNNNNNNNNNNNNNNNNNNNNNNNNNNNNNNNNNNUAUCAUCUUUGCUCAUUCGAUCUCCAUCUUCAGGCAUCGCAUGAUCAUCAUCGUCACCGGCGUGACACCAUGAUCUCCAUCAUCAUGAUCUCCAUCAUCGUGUCUUCGUGAAGUCGUCACGCCAACUACUACUAUCACUACUACUAUGGCUAACCGUUAGCAAUGAAGUAAAAGUAGCAAGCACAUGGCGUUGCAUCUCAUACAAUUAAUUAAGACGACUCCUAUGGCUCCUGCCGGUUGUCAUACUCAUCGACAUGCAAGUCGUGAAACCUAUUACAAUAACAUGAUCAUCUCAUACAUCAUACAUGCAACAUCACAACUNNNNNNNNNNNNNNNNNNNNNNNNNNNNNNNNNNNNNNNNNNNNNNNNNNNNNNNNNNNNNNNNNNNNNNNNNNNNNNNNNNNNNNNNNNNNNNNNNNNNNNNNNNNNNNNNNNNNNNNNNNNNNNNNNNNNNNNNNNNNNNNNNNNNNNNNNNNNNNNNNNNNNNNNNNNNNNNNNNNNNNNNNNNNNNNNNNNNNNNNNNNNNNNNNNNNNNNNNNNNNNNNNNNNNNNNNNNNNNNNNNNNNNNNNNNNNNNNNNNNNNNNNNNNNNNNNNNNNNNNNNNNNNNNNNNNNNNNNNNNNNNNNNNNNNNNNNNNNNNNNNNNNNNNNNNNNNNNNNNNNNNNNNNNNNNNNNNNNNNNNNNNNNNNNNNNNNNNNNNNNNNNNNNNNNNNNNNNNNNUGAUUUGGGUUUCUAGCAAGAACGCCUUCUUACCUACGUGACAGCCACAACGAUGAUAUGCCAAAGCUAUUUACCCUUCAUAAGGACCCUUUUCAUCAAAUCCAAUCCGACUAGAGUAGGAGAGACAGACACCCGCUAGCCACCUUUAUGCACGAUGUGCAUGUCUGUCGGUGGAACCAGUCUCACGUAAGCGUACGUGUAAGGUCGGUCCGGGCCGCUUCAUCCCACAAUACCGCCGGCAAAGAAUAAGACUAGUAACGGCAAGCAAAUUGACAAACCAUCGCCCACAACUUUUGUGUUCUACUCGUGCAUAGAAUCUACGCAUAGAAAACCUGGCUCUGAUGCCACUGUUGGGUAACGUAGCAUAAAUUCAAAAAAUUUCCUAGGCCUGUUCAGAUCUUCCUAUGGAGAGACCAGCAACGAGAGAGGGGUAAGAGCAUCUUCAUACCUUUGAAGAUCGCUAAGCGGAAGCGUUUGCUAGAACGCGGUUGAUGGAGUCGUACUCGCGGUGAUUCCGAUCUAGUGCCGAACAACGGCACCUCCGCGUUCAACACACGUGCAGCCCGGUGACGUCUCCCGCACCUUGAUCCAGCAAGGAGGAGGGAGAGGUUGGGGAAGAAGACCAGCAACACGACGGCGUGGUGUUGGUGGAGAGACGAGGUCUCCCGACAGGGCUUCGCCAAGCGCCGGCAGAGAGGAGGAGGAAGAAGUGCACGGCUGCGCCGAGGGAGAGGGAAAACUGUGUCCUCCAAAGGCCAAAAGUGCCCACUAUAUAUAGGGGAAGGGGAGAGGGGGUGCCACCCCUAGGGUUCCCACCCUAGGGGGUGNNNNNNNNNNNNNNNNNNNNNNNNNNNNNNNNNNNNNNNNNNNNNNNNNNNNNNNNNNNNNNNNNNNNNNNNNNNNNNNNNNNNNNNNNNNNNNNNNNNNNNNNNNNNNNNNNNNNNNNNNNNNNNNNNNNNNNNNNNNNNNNNNNNNNNNNNNNNNNNNNNNNNNNNNNNNNNNNNNNNNNNNNNNNNNNNNNNNNNNNNNNNNNNNNNNNNNNNNNNNNNNNNNNNNNNNNNNNNNNNNNNNNNNNNNNNNNNNNNNNNNNNNNNNNNNNNNNNNNNNNNNNNNNNNNNNNNNNNNNNNNNNNNNNNNNNNNNNNNNNNNNNNNNNNNNNNNNNNNNNNNNNNNNNNNNNNNNNNNNNNNNNNNNNNNNNNNNNNNNNNNNNNNCACCAGCCCAACUAGGGGCUGGUUCCCACCCCCACUUAGCCCAUCUUACCUCUUGGGGUCGCAGCCCCCCUUCGGUGGUCCCCCGGGACCACCGGGGUGGUCCCGGUGGUCCUGGUACGUUACCGGUGAUGCCCGAAACACUUCCGGUNNNNNNNNNNNNNNNNNNNNNNNNNNNNNNNNNNNNNNNNNNNNNNNNNNNNNNNNNNNNNNNNNNNNNNNNNNNNNNNNNNNNNNNNNNNNNNNNNNNNNNNNNNNNNNNNNNNNNNNNNNNNNNNNNNNNNNNNNNNNNNNNNNNNNNNNNNNNNNNNNNNNNNNNNNNNNNNNNNNNNNNNNNNNNNNNNNNNNNNNNNNNNNNNNNNNNNNNNNNNNNNNNNNNNNNNNNNNNNNNNNNNNNNNNNNNNNNNNNNNNNNNNNNNNNNNNNNNNNNNNNNNNNNNNNNNNNNNNNNNNNNNNNNNNNNNNNNNNNNNNNNNNNNNNNNNNNNNNNNNNNNNNNNNNNNNNNNNNNNNNNNNNNNNNNNNNNNNNNNNNNNNNNNNNCGUCCUGGAUCUCAUCCGGGACUCCGAACAACUUUCGGUAAUCUCGUAUAACAAUUCCCUAUAACCCUAGCGUCAUCGAACCUUAAGUGUGUAGACCCUACGGGUUCGGGAGACAGGCAGACAUGACCGAGACACCUCUCUGGCCAAUAACCAUCAGCGGGGUCUGGAUACCCAUGGUGGCUCCCACUAGCUCCACGAUGAUCUCAUCGGAUGAACCACGAUGUCAAGGAUUCAAUCAAUCCCGUAUACGAUUCCCUUUGUCUGUCGGUAUAGAACUUGCCCGAGAUUCGAUCGUCGGUAUACCUAUACCUUGUUCAAUCUCGUUACCGGUAAGUCUCUUUACUCGUUCCGUAGCACGUCAUCGUGUGACUAACUCCUUAGUCACAUUGAGCUCAUGAUGAUGUUCUACCGAGUGGGCCCAGAGAUACCUCUCCGUCACACGGAGUGACAAAUCCCGAUCUCGAUUCGUGCCAACCCAACAGACACUUUCGGAGGUACCCGCAGUGCACCUUUAUAGUCACCCAGUUACGUUGUGACGUUUGAUACACCCAAAGCACUCCUACGGUAUCCGGGAGUUGCACAAUCUCACGGUCGAAGGAAAAGAUACUUGACAUUAGAAAAGCAUUAGCAUACGAACAAUACGAUCUAGUGCUAGGCUUAGGAUUGGGUCUUGUCCACCACAUCAUUCUCCCAAUGAUGUGAUCCCGUUAUCAAUGACAUCCAAUGUCCAUGAUCAGGAAANAGGAAAUAUGAUAAUAAUCAUUUUAUUAUUGCCUCUAGGGCAUAUUUCCAACAAUCUCUGCAGGGCAACUAUCACCUCGGGAGGAUGGCGGAGCUUUUGGACGGAGAUGGAUCCUAGUGCGUGAACCCCCUCCGUCGUUACUUCCUCCCGGUAGAUAUCGACGUCAUCACAAGCAUACGCACCACGCCUCGCGUCACUAACGACAUUAUUGCAUGGGCGCCAGAGAGGAACGAUAUCUUCAUCGGUCUGUCUAUCGCCUAGCCAUGGACGAGCGAGAGCGUCCACUGGCUUCCGCUAUGAGUAGGGCACCGGAUGGUAGUCGCACCAUCUAGAAGAUCAUGUGGGGGUGCACUGGUCCCCCAAAGGUAUGCGUGUUCACUUGGAGAAUUGUCGCCAACUCACUUGCUACUUGGGCCAAUAAAGCAUCAUGACACCUCGAGCCUACUGUCAUAUGCCCUCUUCGUGGUAUGGAACGUGAGGACGGAUUUCAUGCGAUUUGCAGAUGCCCUUUGGCAAGAGAGCUCUACGAGUUAUGGCCUUGGACUGGAAUAUCUCCAAGGUGGACUCCAUCCACAACACAUGUCCAGAGUGUGUCUUCACACCGCUGGAUCCCUUGGACGAUAUAGCAAGAGUGUUAGAGCAUAUCUCUCCAUAUGUGGUUUUGGUAAUUGAUGACAAUUCAUAUGGACUAGUGGUUGCCUUAAGUUAUAUUUAUAGGAUUUGUCCAUGGGAACUUCUUGAAGUCCAUCUGUUGGGUUCAAGGAGUUUAUAUUAUGACCAAGGUGGUAUUCAAGGUAUUAUCCAAAGAAUGGUCAUAGAGACACAAGGUUGAUCAAGAUCGUCAGACAAAGAGUAAAUCAAGAUGAUCAACACACAAAGCGUACAAGACGUACCGACAGGGGUCAAGUGAUUCCAUGGUAUGGUAAGCAUUGUCCAUUAUGUGUUUGUGUACUAACCCAUGGUCUUCGUGAGAGUUAUAUGUGGUGUUAGGUGUGUUUUCAUGGAUUUGCGUCAAGAAGAAUAUCUCAUACAACCCAUGGAGGAUGAUGUCAAGUGGUGAUCGUCAUCAAGAUUGUGGUGUGCAAGUUCAAGUGGAUCAUCACGAAGAUAUCAUGCUUGAAGCUUGCCGUCCAUUGUGGUGGCAAUGGACUUGUGAAGAUAUGUAGUGCCCCAAGUGUAAAGCUCUCCCUUUUUGUAACCUUCCAUGUGGGACCACCUUGUCUUUGUCAUGAGAGCUAUCUAUGCAUGUAUGAUUUCAUGUGUCACCUUGUAUUUCUUCUUUUGCAUGCAUGCAUCCUUGCCAUACCUUAUGAUUCUAUGUCAUGUUAUGAUUGCAUGUGAUCUUGCUAGUUGUGAUUUAGUGAUCUUGUGAUUUCAUGUGUUGAUGCACAUGUGAGGAUGUGGUGUGAAGUGGUGGAGAGUGGUGCUUGACAUUAUUUUCAAACCCCCCUUGUUAGUUUCAAACUUUUCUCUCUUUUAUUCCAAGCUCAAAAUUUCACUUGCUCUUUACCUGGUUUUAAAAUGUCCUCUGUUUGCUGAAUAUUGCGGGUAUAUUGUUGUGCAAGAUUUGGUGUUUUGUUAGGUGUUCUAAAGGUGCAAUAAACCACAAAACAGCUAUUAUAAUUGUUGUUUUGUAUUUAUUUAAUUGCCCCAUAAAAAUUCCUUUUGCAUUUUAUUUAAAUAGCUUAUGUAUUUUCAGGUCCAGGGGCAUUUUUGUUUUGAUUUUAUAAUCAGUAGAUAGUCCUGUGGGCCUUUUCCUUUCUCUGUAAUUAAUCUAAUUAGAUAAUAACAUGUUGAGGGUUGUUUUCUCUAUUUUUUUCACUGGUGGGCUUCCUCCCACUCAGAGAGGCCCAGCGCCUCCUCUCCCCCUCGCGACAGCAGCCCAUCCCACGUCCCUCUUCCUCCUCCAUCUACGUCACUGUGUACGACUCCACCUCCUCCACCGAUUCUCCAUGGAUCGAUCAUGUGGCUCAAGCGCCUCCCCCGAGGUAAUAUAAGGUGGAGGGAACCUUCCACCUUCCCUAGGGUUCCAUCUCCUUCCCCCAGCGCCGCCGCCACCUCCCUCCUUUUCUCCUCCCUCUCCCUGGUAAGUUCUCUGUAGAGUAGGAGCAGAGACACAGAGAACCCCUCGCCGCCGUCUACCCCGCCUUCUCCGUCGAGCAGCGCCGGCGGCCAUGUCCAGGGACACGGGGACGGUGCCCGCGCCCCAUUUUCGUCCUCGGUGAGGACGAGGGACGUCUACAACGCUGGCCAGGAGCACGUCAAAGCGUCUGCUCCGAUGAUCUGCUUCGUCUACCUCCGUUCGACAUCAACCUGCAGUAGGGCCUUCUCCCGCGCGCCUCCCUCCUCUCCGGCCGGCCUCCUCCACCGAGCGGCUCCUCUUUCCUCCCCGAGGUGAGCCGGUCCUCUUCCUCCCUUCUCCCUCGUAGAGAUUCGGCGAUCUUGGUGGUAGCCGUCUUUGUCCCAAGCUAUAGCAGCAUAAGUGGCGGUGGGAGUUAUCCAGUGUAGACUGAUGGUGUUGCAGUAGUGGUGCGCGCCCGCGGUGUGUGGGUAGCCGGCGUGCAGUAUCAGGGGUGUUUCCCUCUCUUCGUGCAGCAACAACAGCAGUUGAGAGCACGACGACCUCUCUGUCGUCGGCUCGCUGUGCAGAGCCGAGCUGGGCGUCGUAGUAGUUUACUUGUUUCAGGCCUCCCCCUCUGUCAGACGUCGUAGCAUAGCGCAGUGGCAAGUGUGUGGGGUUGUUCUCGUGAGAUCCAGGGUUCGAGUCCCAGAGGCAACAAGCCCCCCUUUUUGUUGAUUUUGUUUGCCCAGUAGCACAGUAGAUGCACGUAGUAACCUACCUUGCUCGGUCCUCUCUGUUCUGUCCAGGUAAUGAUAGUAGCAGAGUGGUAUGAGCUACACGUGGUGUCCACGGGAUCUGGGGUUCGAUCCCCCCCCCCCAAACCUUUUAUUUAUUUAUGUCUUUUCCUUUGCUGUUUUGUUUUAAUCACUUCCUUACUUGCAUGUGGUAGGCUUGCACCUUGUGGUAUUUUUUUUCUCCCCUCAAACAACAUGUUGUUCAUAUUGUUUUCGCCAGUGAUGUGAAUAGAUGAUGGUGUAGGCUUGAGAGCAUGUAUGUAGCGUUCAUGUGUGUUAGGGUAGAUGUGUAGAUUUAUGUGUGUGUGAGUGAGUGCUUGAGGGUGAGUGUGUGUGCAAGUGUGUGUGUGACCCUACACACAUGCUCGUGCAAUUGCACAAGCCCUUGAGUUUAAGCUUUGUGUGAUAGUAGUUUUUUGCAUGUGUGUGUGUCUCCCCACACACUUAUGCAUACACACCCAUGUGAGUAUGUAUGUGUAGGUGAGUGAGUGUGUGUGCUUGUUCUUGCUAAAUUGUGGUGUGAGUGGGUGUGCCCAAGAGCUUGGUGUUGGACUCAUGCCACCAUUGGCCUUGUGAUAGGGUGCAAUGGAGCAUGUGGGAGUUGUUCUAGUAAUUUUGCACAUGUGAUGAUGCACUAAUCUCUAUAGGUGAUUCUAUGUAGAUUUUCUUUUCUAGUUUGUGUUCACUUGCUCCAAUUAAGUGCCCACAAAUUAUAUAUGUUUUUGGGGUACAAUAUCCCAAGGAAUCCAGUGGUGAAGUUACUUUUUCCAUUGGGAAACUUUAAGGACUUGACAUAUUCAGUUUUGUUGCAAGUUUGAUCUUUGAUUCCAUGGAAUAGGUGGAGCCCAAGGGCAUGAGUUUUUGUGUGAUAGUAGUAGGGGUUUUUCUCUACACUAUAGUGGUGUCAAUUAUCACUUGGUGUAAUGUGUGUGCAAACUAUGCUUAGACAAAGUGGGCAUGUGGCUGAAAAAUUCCAGAUUAGUGAAAUCUGAAAUUUCACUAAGUCUGGGAUUCUGGAAACAUUUUCUUCUCUUAUAGAUGAGGAUGGGCUGGUCAUUCUGUUGAGAACUAGCCUUAGUUCAGUGCUAGGAUUUUGAACCUGGUAUGUUUGCGAAGCUUCCUGUCAAAUUUUAAAUCAUUUGGAUUCCAGGAGGUUGUGUUUUGAUUGCUGUCAAAAAGCUUCAGAACAGAGACAGAAACUCAGGUGCAGGAAUUUUCACUAAGUCCCUGAGAUCUGAUGGUUUGGGGAAAGUUUGUGUCCUUGUAUCUUCUAGAGUUUGAUUCCUUUUUCUGUGAUUCUUGCUGGUGCUUGUAUUGUUCUUGGUUGUCAACAGCCACAUAUAUUAUUUGUCAUGUUUGGAGACCUGUAGCUAUGUUGCAUGUAGCUCCCAAAGAGCUAAGACGCAGAUUAUGGCAGAUUAUGUAGUUUUGUCAUUUUGGUCAAUGUGUGUGCUUAGUUGAUGUUGUGGUGUUCUUCCUUGCUCCAAUACAUUCAUGUUGGGUUGUUACAUGUCUUGGAAACCUGGGAAUACCAGAUUUGUGCCAUUUGAGUGUGUGGUGUUGAUUCUUCCACGUAGAGCUUCAUAUCUUGUUUCGUUGAUUCCCGUUGAUCCGUAGCUCCGUUUGCAAUGUUUUUUAUAUGGUUUUGCACCGUUUUCACGAGCCGCAUCUGUUCAUGUCAUUCUCAUGCAUGUCAAAUAGCUUGGUGUACAGUUCUGUCCAGAAACUUGCAGUAGUUUAUUUUGCUUGUGCUAGUGAUAGAAAUAGUGGUGCAUGCUCAAUUUUCAUCUCAUGCAUCAUGUGAUUGUUGCAUAUUGUGGUGCUGCUGUUCAUUGGCUGUUAUUCUCAUGUUGGGUAGCACCGGGAUCGGAGAACGAAUACGUGGAGUCAGGAGAGUACGUGCAGGACGAACCAGAACCAUUCCAAGCUGAGGAUAUCACAGGCAAGAUGAUAAGACCUUGAUUCCAUCUCUAGACUUGUUAUGUUAGUUUCGUUUCCAUGUCAUAUUGCUCGCUGCCUACCACUGAAUUAAAUUGCCUCUUGAAAUGCCAUGAGCCCAAACACCGUUCUCCUUCCUAGCAAACUUGUGUGGCUAAGUAGGCUUGCUCAUCUACUAAUGUUAGCAUUGCUAGUUGCAGGUGUUUUUGACUCAUGUGAUAACAUGAGCUUGAUAUCAUUACCUUAAAUGCUGUUAUUUAAUUAAUGCACCUAUAUACUUGGUAAAUGACGGGAGGUCUAGCCUUUUGCCGGGUGCUUUGUUCCGUUAUUGCCGCCUUAGUUACCGGUUACCGGUGUUUGAUUCCAUAAUGAUCGCUCCUAACACGUUCGGGGUUGUUAUGGGGACCCCCUUGAUAAAUCACGUAGUGUUAAGGCUUGUCCGGCAGGACCCAACUUUGGUUUUAAUCUGCUAAUCACAUAAUAAUCUGCAUAGGGAAUAGCUACCCCGAGGAAUUUAAUCAACAACCCGGGCCAGUGCUCCUCAUGAGUGUUGCCCCACCUGAGCGAUGUCCGGGGCCCCACUGGUCACCCAAAGGUUUAGCCAUCCCGACGUCUAGCUCAUCUGUCGUGUCCUGAGACUGAGAUACGCGGCUCUUAUCAGGGUCGUCGACACGACGGGAGGUCAUGCUAGCCUUGUCUUACCUUAGCGGUAUAUCUUGCGUAUAGGAAUCCCAGUGAAGCUUUGGUUUCCCCCAGAGUUGAGGUUUUCCUCUAAGGAAUCCGACGAGAUCAGGAGAUUCGUGAUAGAGGAUGCCUUUGCGGCAUGUGUUCGUUUGUGAUGGACUAGUUGGAGCACCCCUGCAGGGUUUAAUCUUUCGGAAAGCCGUGCCCGCGGUUAUGUGGCAACUUGGAAUUUUUUGUUAACAUCCGGUAUUAGAGAAUUUAAACAUAAACUAAUAAAACUGCCAACUGUGUGCGUAACCGUGACUGUCCCUUCAAAGAUCUCUCUUCGAUCGGGAACACGGUGGGGUUAUGAAUGCCGUAGGUAGGUGUUCAGGAUCACUUAGUGAUCAAGUAAUCCCGACCGCUAGCGUAGACCACCUUUACUUCUUCUUUGCGUAAGUUAGCCACUUAAUCAAGCAUAGGAUGUUGCAGCCUGAUACACUUCACCCGUACCCUACCUAAUAACAUGACUAGUUCUGGCACCAAGGUCUUAGAUUGCUGAGUCCCCGUGGCUCACGGAUUCCUCCAAAACUCCCAGCAGGUACAGGUACCCCAGAGACAGAUGAUCCCGACGGCACCCAGCUGGCGUGGCAGUACGACGAGGAGACAGACUGCCUCUACGUGAACUAUCCAGAGGACUGAGGCGUGGUCGUGAUUGUGGGCCUGCAGCAGGGUAGCAUAGCAUUUUCCAUGUUUUGUAGUCCGUAGCGGAACUACCUUGUUUGUAUAUGUGUUGUACUCUGAGUUAUUAAUAAGAAGACAGUUGAAUCCCGAAUUGUCUACUUUUAUUAUUAUUUGUGCUAUGUUACUUGCUUGCGAAACGCUUAGGCCCUGUUUGGAACCAUCCAGAUUAUAUAAUCUGGUUUUUAUAAUCUAUUGUAUUUCCAAACAGGACAAUUUAUAUUGUAGAUUUUAUAAACUAGAUGACCAUAUUAUUAUAAUCUCAUAAUCUCCUCUAUCCCAGCUAAAAUGAGAUUAUGGAUUACAAAUGACGUGUUAUCCUUGUAAACUUCAAAAGAAUUACGCAGUGCCACCACCACUUUCCUAGUUUUCCUUGUAAACUGAGGGCAAACAUGUCAUUGUACAAUUUAAAACUGGUUUACAGUUUAUAUAAUCUGGCCUCCAAACAUGCCAACCUAGAUUAUUUUUAUAAACCAGAUUAUAUAAUCUAUGUUCAUAAUCUAGAUUAUUAUAAUCUAUUAUGGCUCCAAACAGGACCUUAGAUGCGCUUCUUUCCUAUUCGGGGGCCUCGACCCCCAGAUCGGAAAGGGCCGCAUCUUGGUCAUUACAAGAUAUGUUGAAGAGCGGCUCACCCAUAGUGUGCAUGGGGGAGCAAUCAACUAGUCUUCAUCAAGCCAAUGCAAUCAAGAAAGGUGGUCCAUCUUGAGGAAGCCAAGAUCAUCGUCAUCUAGCUCAAGAGGACGAGGUGCAAGGUACAGGUUUGCCCUUGAUAGGUUUUCUGUUUUAGGAUAGAUUGUCGUAUUGUCAAGGGGGGGCUUUCAAGUGAGUAGCUUGGUCAUAUAGUUCGUUGAGAGCUCAAACCAUUUGCAUCCUUGCAUCAUACUUCUUGGUUCUUGUUUGGUGUUUCUCUUUGCGAGUUUUAGAGCUUAUGGUCAUCUUCAUGACAAGCUCGAGUUCAUGAAAAUGGAGUCCAUAUGCAUCUUCUGUGAUGUUUUCGCUGUUGGGAGUUUGUACCGGUCUUAUUCGAGGAAGGGUUCUCACCAUUUUAUUAUGGGCCUUUUCUCACUUGAUUCUUAUUGAUAUUUCUAUCAAGAUUGUGUUAGCCCAUGUCGGUAGCUUUCCAACAAACUUGGUUUCGUUGAAUUUGGAGUGUGUAUGCGAAAGUUAAGGCAGUUUCUGUGGUGAGCACUAGUACCGCUUGUGCCUAGCGGUAGUACCGCUCCGUCGGACUUUAUUUGCACAUCCUUUUUGCCUCGGCAUGGCUGGUGAACCUACCGAGCGGUAGUACCGCUCCCACGAAUGGUAUUACCGCUCCAUCGGACUUUAUUUGCGCAUCCUUUUUGCCUUAGCGUGGCUGGUGAACCUACCGAGCAGUAGUACCGCUCCCAUGAGCGGUAGUACCGCUGUGUGCGGGCUGUGAAGCAUAACGAUUGGUUCUUUUCCCACCUAUAAAAGGGGGUCUUCUUCCCCAUUGAACCUUAUCUCUUUAGCUCGUGUUCUUCCCCAUUGUUGACCUUCUUCGAGCUUGUUAACUCUCAAUCCCUCCAAUAAUUCUUGCUAGUUCUUGAGGGAAAAGAGAGAGGAGAUCUAGAUCCUCAUUUCCACCAACCGCUUUCUCCUCUAAGUGAGGGGAACCCCUUGGGUCUAGAUCUUGGAGUUCUUCGUGUUCUUCUUCGUUCUUCCUCUCAUUUUUCUCCCUACCAUUAGUUGCUUUGGUGGGAUUUGGGAGAGAUGGACUUGGGCACUCCGUGUGCCCUUGCCAUUGCAUUUGGUGCAUCGGUUUGAGUUCUCCACGGUGAUACAUGGAAGUGAGAAGUUGAGAAGUUUAUGACCCUUGGGUACUUGGUACCCCUAGAAGCUUGGUGAUGCCUCGGAGCUCAAUCAUUGUGGUGUAAAGCUCCGGGCAAGCGUCGGGGUCUCCAAUUAAGUUGUGGAGAUUGCCCCGAGCAUUUGUGGUCACGUCGAAGCCAUAUGCCAUUGUGGUGAAGCUUCGUGGUGUUGUUGGAAGCCUCCAAUUAAGUUGUGGAGAUUGCCCCAACCUUGUUUGUACGGGUUCGGUGACCGCCCUCAAGGGUCCCUUAGUGAAAUCACGGCAUCUUGCAUUGUGCGAGGGCGUGAGGAGAUUACGGUGGCCUUAGUGGCAUCUUGGGGAGCAUUGUGCCUCCACACCGCUCCAAUGGAGAUUAGCAUCCGCAAGGGUGUGAACUUCGGGAUACAUCAUCGUCUCCACGUGCCUCGGUUAUCUCUGACCCGAACCCUUUACUUAUGUACUUUAUUUUGUGAUACCCAUAUUGUUUCUUGUCAUAUAUCUUGCUAUCACUUAGUUGUUUAUCUUGCUUAACAUAAGUUGUUGAUGCACAUAGUUGAGCCUAGUUGUUCUAGGUUUUGUGCUUGAUAAAUUAAACGUUAGUUUUAUUCCGCAUUUGUUCAAGCCUAAACCGUAAUUAUUUUAAAGCGCCUAUUCACCCCCCCCCUCUCCCCUGCUAGGCGACAUCCACAUCCUUUCAAAAAGACUGGUGGUGCUCAUGACCAUGUGGCGAAUAUGGCAUGUCCGCAACGAGUUACACACGACUAGGAGCCACCCCUUGUUGAAGCCUCGAGACGAUUUCUGUAUGGGUACAUCAACUUGCUUUUGUGCAUACAACAACAUCCUAAAGGCGACCUAGAUGCUGAUCUCAUCUUCACCACACGCCAAAGUGUGCACGGGGGCUAGUGUGCGCGCGAGCUGGGUCCUUCCUAAACCGCGUUGGGCAAAGCUAAAUACGAACGGGAGUUACAUCACAGGGUGCGGCACGCGGGAGGUAUGAUCAUGCGGGGUGACCGAGAUGAGAACAUCUAUAGCACAUGCAAAGAGAUUCGCAUGUGCGAUAAUUCCUUAGAGGCGGAGUUUGGUCGAGAUGGAUAUCAUGGAGGCGGUGGCCAUGAUCACGGGGCGUAAGCAGGGUAGAUCUACACAUCGUGCAUUGGUAGAGGAGAUUCGCAGGCUGGUUAGUCUCGCCACUAGGGAGAUCUCCUUUACCCAGUGUGCAUUGGUAGAGGACAUGUUGAGUAAAUAGGCAAUUUUCCGAGCAUAUUAAUCCACGAGAUAAUGACUAGCAUGGCAUUGACUAGACUGAUGAUAUAUUGAUCAUGAACUAACCUAGCACAUACUACGCAUAUAGUCGAUACAUCUAUGUAGGCAAGUAGUACUGCUAGGAUAAAUAAAAACAUGAAGAUAAACGAGUCAUACCCUCCAAUAGGCCAGUUGGCCGUAGCAGCAGCGUUGGCGUUGGACGCAGCCAUAGCAGCAGCAGCAGCAUCCUCUGUCCUCUUCUUCUCAGCUUCAAGGGCGAGACGAUCGGCCUCGGAUGGUGAAGACAUGGCGAUGACGAGAACGACGCGGAUGUAGACGAAGCAGACGGACGGAGGCGAGCAGUCGCGUGAUCGCUCUCCAAAAACCUAAUCGCCCCUCUCCCGUACAGGAACCAGAGAGGCGGGGUUUCGGAGGCAUGCUCUCCCGUCGACCUGUACGCGGUAAACGGGACGGAGUCGCCGGCGGGAGCAGCAGUCAUGGAACGAACGCGUGAGGCAGACGUGAUCUGAUUCUCAUGACGGCUAGGAUAGGCGUUAGCCUGCUUAUAAAAGGCGGCUGAGCGGAGAGACGUGGGCCGAACCCACGUCCGAGUCGGUAACAGCCCACGAUCCGACGUCUCGGAUCGUGCCGUGUCCGUUACGUAUUCUCCGUUCCUGACCGACAAAAAUAAGCGCGUAGGUAUGAACUCGGCUCAUUCCCGCAACCCGUGGCGGGACGCGGCGAGGCGGACGGCGGAGGAGGAGUGCGCGAGGGCACCUUCUCUUCUCACUCUCCAAUAGCAUGUGGAAGAGAGACCCUUAUAAAAAGGUCCAACUUCUCCUUCACUAGCGGGGUGGGACUAAACUUUCCACCACCACCUUGUCAUGUCACCAUCUACAUGGGCCCUUGAAGAUUUUUCUGAAAUUCUUUUAUGGGUAGUCUCGCCACUACGGAGAUCUCCUUUACCGAGUGUACACGCUCGUAGAACAUUGUAAGCCAUGAGCUGGCCGCGUAUGACCGUAGUACUCUGUACACAGCACAGCAGUAUGGCUAGCUGUCGGAAUGGAUUUUGUUGUAAAUGUGGCUACGGCUGAGAAGCUCCCAUUAGUUAAUGAAGAAAUUCUUUUUCGCCAAAAAAAAUGGUAAUGGAAAAUUGGAAAUGUGAGCGAUGUAGGGCGUGUUUGGUUGCCUGUAUUGCAUCUGGCUCGCACCCACCAUGCAAAUAUUAGAUUGUUUGGUAUGCUGUAUGUGUAGUUGGACCUGGCCCGACAGAUGCAAAAAACGCCUCCGGGCCAGGCUGCGGGGAAACGCAAGUUCGGGCCGUUUCCGCGAGCCUGCACCCGCGCGUGCAGCGACCCGCCCGACGCCUCGCUCUCGCCUGGAGGAUAGGGUUCCCUCCCGACGCCUCGCUCUCACGCCGCGCCGCUCUCGUCCCCGCGCCGCGCCGCGCUCNCCCGCCCCGGCGAGCCGCUGUCCUCCCCCGCCCCGGCAACCCACUCUCCUCCCCCACAGGUUGGUUCUCCUCCUCCCUCAAUCCCUCUCGGAUCUGAUAAGUACGCUGCCGCCAGAAACGCGAGGGAGGGGAGGUCCUGGCCAUGGCCGUCGUGGCCAUGGGAGCUCCCUGGUUCUGAUGUAAAUAUUCUAUAUAGAUGGAUGAGGCUGCUCCCUCCCUGGUUACCCCUGUUUAAAUUUUUUGCACAUAUUCUAUUUUGUUUUGAUGUAAAUAUUAUCAGUGUUAACUUAUCAGUAUUAAAUCUGUGCUACAUUUAUAUAGAUGGAUGACAACAGCAAGACUCGAGAUACGCUGAUAGUGCAAGCUGCUGGUUUGGUUGCUGUUUUGUGUGCAUAUAUGGCCACUAUAACUACAAGGGCUAGAAUUAGAAAUUAUCGUGCUCCAGUCCGUUAUGUUAUGCUUGAGAGAGACAUAGCUAGGAAAGGUGGCACCAUUUUAAUUCUUUUANNNNNNNNNNNNNNNNNNNNNNNNNNNNNNNNNNNNNNNNNNNNNNNNNNNNNNNNNNNNNNNNNNNNNNNNNNNNNNNNNNNNNNNNNNNNNNNNNNNNNNNNNNNNNNNNNNNNNNNNNNNNNNNNNNNNNNNNNNNNNNNNNNNNNNNNNNNNNNNNNNNNNNNNNNNNNNNNNNNNNNNNNNNNNNNNNNNNNNNNNNNNNNNNNNNNNNNNNNNNNNNNNNNNNNNNNNNNNNNNNNNNNNNNNNNNNNNNNNNNNNNNNNNNNNNNNNNNNNNNNNNNNNNNNNNNNNNNNNNNNNNNNNCCAUUUUAAUUCUUUUAUGUUUCAGCUCCAUUUUAAUUCUUUUAUGUCACUAUUUCAGCUCCAUUUUAAUUCUUUUAUGUCACUAUUUCAGCUCCAUUUUAAAUCUUUUAUGUCACUAUUUCAGCUCCAUUUUAAAUACUUUAUAUACUCUUACGUAAUCAGAUUCCUUUGUUUGCUUUGUACAUAGGAGUGAUGGCUGAUGGUGGGCAUGGUGGUGGGAAUCACCCAUUGCGUUGGACAUCUCCAAUGUCUGGUUUCAUGUUACGUCGAUUUGUAGAGCUCAUUGCUAGUGGAGUGAAGACUGACAAAGGCUUUAAGGAGGUGCACAUAAACCAGGUGGCUAAGAAUUGUAGUGACCACUUUGGUCUUGCAAUAACCGGGACCCAAGUCUACAACCACCUCCGCAAGUGGCGUGCUAGGUGGGUGAAGAUUAGUAAGCUCCGAGACAUUAGUGGGUCACUUUGGGAUGAUACUAACUGUGUCAUAUCACUGGAGGAAGAGCACUAUCUGGGCCAUAUCAAGGUUUGUACUUUGAACUGACCUAUAAUUAUUUCCUUUCACAUGCUUCCUAUUUGUCAGUAUAUAACCUUCCCAUAACCACACUACAUAUAGGACCAUCCCAAAGAUGUUGAGUACCUCAAUGUACCUUUAGAGAACUAUGUUCAAAUGCUUGCUAUCUUUGGGACUGGUAUUGCUACAGGGAGGUAUGCAAUGGCAUCUAAUGAGGCUCUUGGGGCUGCUUCAAUGGUGGGAACCUCCCCAUCGGAUGUCAACAUUGAAGGUUCUGGUUUUGAAUUUGUUGUUGAUGGGAAUGAACCUGACUCGAGUGCUACUGCUGCUGCUCAUGGGGAAGCUGCUGUUGCUCAUUCCACUGGUAAAAGGAAGAGGGCUAGCCUCAUGAGCGAAGAAGAAGUUUUGGUCAUGACCAACAUGUCUGAAGCAGUCCGUGAAGUUGCUAAUGCUAUCAAGUCCACUACAGAGGCACAUCCUGAACUUUAUGAUGCUGUGAUGGAGCUCCCUGGUUUUAGUGAGGAUGAUCUAUUGAUUAUCUUGGAUUAUCUCAAUGAGAGUGCCAACAGGGCUAGGAGCCACUCAUUCGUGCAGAUGACGGAGACUCGCCGCACUCGUUGGGUCAUUCACCACCUUUCCAAGCUCAAGGAUGAUGUGCCAAAGGGUGGAG
rnacentral:lncRNA from 1 species